rnacentral:lncRNA from 1 species
GGGUCGGUCAGGUUCAUGUAUAUCCCGGACCCAACUCAAAAAAUUGGAGUCCGAGUUGGGUCCGAGUCGAGUCUGGAUUAUAGUCUUAGAAAAUUCGGCCCAAGUCAAAUGAAACUGAGCCUGAUUUUCAAAGUGGAUGUCACCCUGCAAUGCAUGGCCUGUGAUCUAGUCGGUCGCUUGGUUUCCUUUGCGAUAGAUGUGGAUCGUCUGAACAACAAAUAAAGCAUGCUACUAAUGGAUGAUAUCCAGCAUCAAUAGGUGAGUAGCAUACCUGCAAGUGAACGGAGAAUUAAUCCAUAAGUAAUAACUGUGGCUAAAUCCCCUUCAAGCCAAACUAGUUGUGCUUGAAAUUGAAGUAUGGUUGUGCUAAAACCUGCCCAAGUAGCUACUAGCUCUGCAUAUGAGACUGUAGCAGUUGCGAGCCUUUUCCCACGAGCAUAUAGCAACCUUCCCUUUUGAUCUCGUAUUACAAAAUCUUGUUGCUGCAUAGUCACCGCAUGCCUUCAAAACACCAAGGUGAGGGAGCGGCCAUCAAACACAAGUAUUUGAAAAACACAAGUGUAAAGUAGUACCACCCCAGAACCUUGAUCAUGUAAUGUGGGUAGAAUGAAAGUCAGCCAACCUGAGUUCAACAAGAAAAUAAAAAUCUGUCUUACUAGCUAGUGAGAGGUUGACAGGCUUGCUUGAAACAGCCUCUCAUUUCUUGCUUUUCAUAAUAACCACAUGGUAUAAGCCUCGAUGGACUUAAUCCACCUCUCUAUCAGGCAUCACAAGUUUGAGCAAUACCGAUAAAAUAGUGGGGGAAAGGCCCAUAAUGAAAACAGAAAAACAAGAGCUGCUAGCACUGAUUUACAAACGAACAGUAGAUAAUUACAUGAGCAUCAUCCUCAUUAUGGUCGGGUUGAUUUCACAACUCACUGAUAGAGUGAAUGAGUGAUAGUGAAUCGGUGAUAAAAGUCUCAGAUCUGGCCGGAGCUCUAGGCCGGGCCUUAAGCCCCAGCUCUGGGUCGGGCCGGAUCAUUGACUUGUCUAGUAAGAGUGUAAAACUGAGACAGUAACUUCAGUUGUUUAGUUUGCAACCCUGCAGCUCGCGGGCCCAAAUAAUUUUACAGAUUCGGGUCGGAUCAGGUCUGAAUUCAGUAAAUCCAGAUCCGACCCAAUAAUGGAACGAGUUCAAUUUUACAACCCGAUCCGUCCCCACAAGUCCUCCAAAAUGGGUUGGGUCAAGUCUAAGCGGGUUGUGUCACGAGUCCCUAACCCAUUUGCAGCCUUAGCCAAAUAUGCUAACUCAAGAGACAUGCCAUGCUAGUCAUAAAUGGUUAAAUGCAAGAAUAAUCAGAAUUUAGGUAGAUUGGUAGUUUUUGAGACAAGAUGAAAGGAAGCAUUAGUCUCUAAUGUGACAUAAGUGUGUAGACAAGAGAGAUAAAGGGUGAGUGUGUGUUUGAGAGAGAGUUGGUGAAGGUCUUGGUUGGCAGUUCAAUGGCAAUGGCAUCUUUGAUAGUGAUCCUGAUUGUCCUCUUCCUCAACCUUCUGCUUUGGCAACAAUGAUUAUUGCUGCUAUAGUCGUAAUUGCAACCUUUAUUGUUGAAAGAGAUGACAUGAGGAUAAGGAAGGGAUAGAUCCUUUUUCUCUUAGUUUUAUAAAUUAUUUCUUAAUGUUGUAGUUUUCCAUAAAUAUUUUUUUUUGCCUCGAUGAUCAGUAGGGAAAGGCACCUUACUGGCACCUAGGCCUUAAUUGUUCCCCUGUUGAUGCAUUGAUUACCUAAUGCCUUUUAAAACAUUAAAAUAUAUGAAACAUGCCUUUCAUGAACUCUAAAAGUUGAUCCAAAACUGUAAUCUAGUGAAAUUGUUCGUACAAAACUUAUCUCUUAAAUGUUGAUCUGAUUGAGACAGCAAUCCCAACUUCUCUCUUAUGGCUGGUUUAAUAAGAUUUAAAAAAAGAAGCAACCAAAAAAGUAAGAAGAAGAAGAAAAGAAAAUAUUGAUAUAUGUUUCCCUGCAAUCUUUUGCAUCCUUUUGAUAAAUAUCUCCUUGUGUGAUCUUCUGUUUUUCUGAGAAAUAGUUAGGUGAGCCCUAACCCAGUUUCAUUAAGUAAAUGAAAGGAACCUUCGUGUGUGAUUUUCACUGCUAGCAGUUCUCACAAUCUUGGAAGAAUUCAUUUUCAACAAGCUGGAGUUUUGUCCAACAUAAUUACUUUGUGUCUUCAUCUCCUUGAUGCCUCAAUGCCCACGUUCAGUCUUUACAUCAUCGUCUUUGGCACAUCUUGGCAUUAUGUUCUUAUUCUACAGGAAAGCCCUAGUAUUUAGCAGUGAAAUGUUCCAACUUUGAAACUAAAUUAGAGUAACAACCACUAUAAAUUACCACACCAAGCAGUCUCUUGGCAAUCUUUUCCACACAAAUGACAAAUCCACUAUAACUGGCAUAUAUCAAAAGUUUUUCUUUUCAAAAUUGAGCUGAAAGAUCGAAUUGAAUCUUUACGGAUCAGGCCUGCAGGAAGGAACCAUCGUAAUAAAUUCAGGUUCAUCAAACCAAAAAAAUUAACAUCAAAAUUAGGCGAUAUAAAAUAUUAGAAUGUCUUGCUGGUUGAUAACCAUAAUCACUCACUGGUUGCAAAAUGAUAUUUAUUUAUUUAUUCUGAGUGGAAGAGGGAGAAAAGACCCCCCCCCUCCCUCUCUCUCUCCUCUCUCCUCUCUCCUCUGAUUUAUCACCAAAAUACAGUCACAUAAGCUCACAGAUACAUAAACAGUACCUCCUUGUAUACAACAACCAACAAGCCGGCACAAACAACUAUCAAAGGCUGUCCAGCAGAUACUUAUGUCCUACCCUACCCCUGACUGUGCCAAACUUCCUUUUAUCUUCAUGAUUACAUAAUCCCUAUCUUUGAAUAAACAGAGCCGAUCAGAAGAUCACCUGAAAGGAGGAUUUUCUGUCUGCAAAAGCUGUUCAAUUCCUUUCUUUCUAAAGAGUUCAACACUCAGGUAUAGCCAACUUAUCCCAAGCUCCCCCAAAGAAUCCUGUUACCUUCGUCCUUCUCCAAAGAUGCCAAAAUGAGGAUGCUGUUGCAGGUCUGCUCUUUAAUCCUAGACAAAUUCUGCCUGCCAAGUGCGAAAUGCAGUUUUUUAAAUUUUAGAACGGUGAUAAAAAAUGAAUUGAUCUUUGUUAAGGAUUUAUAAUUAAUUUCUCAUUCUAAUCUACAAGCUUUUCAACUGAUUUCCUGUUUCCUUUUAAGUUUUGCAGGAAUAAGGGUGCAAGAGAAAAGAGUCUAGGAUUCAGUGUAGUCUGAUGCCUCCAGAUUUUGUUAUACUAAAGAGGAAAUUAAAUCUUACAGAAGAAAGAGGAAAACUUAAGGGAAUCUUAUACAUUGAUAAUUACUUAGAUGUAAUUUAGUCAAGCUAGUAUAUUGGAGAAUAUGAGACUAAAUAUUGACGAUAUGGUGACCAUAUGCUUCACUCAACUCAGCAUGACCAAAAGCCAUGUCUACUUACUGGAAGAAUGAGGGAGCUGUGACUCAAGUUGUUGGAUCUAUAUUUUGUGAAAUUGCAGACAAUUGUCAUACUAGUAAAUAUGUUAGAUCAUAGUAACUUACGCAUGAAGUUUGCAAAUAAAAAAGAAGCAUAUGUGGUUAUACAAAAUAUGCCACAAUAAAAUAUAGAGUAUCAUGAGCGCUAAAUGUGUUUUAAUGUAGACUGGUUCUCUGAAGAGUCGAAUCUACUGUCUUUGCCUACAAUUUAGUUCUCUUGCCACCUGGUGUUCUCCAUGUUAAUCUUUCAUCUAAUGUGAUCUGUUCAUUUUUAUUUUAUACCUGAGUGACCCAGGGCAUACAUGGCGCAUCAUCUGUGGCAUAGAAAGGUUUCACAGCUUUUUCUGAAGCAAUGCCUAUUUUAAUCUGCAGAGCACUAGCUUUUGCUUUUGGGUGCUCGAAAAGUAUAGGCCUACAGCAUGAUCUUACACUCUUUUUUUGUAGAAAAUAAUAUGAACAUUAUUUUCUGCAUUGUUAGAUAGCCUUUCAAUCCACAAGAAAAUCCACUAAACUCUAAAACCUCAUCUUAUAGUUCCACCAGCUGCUUUCCAUUGUGUGUGUCAGUAUUGGAAAUUUUGGGUGUUCUAAGUUUGCUGAUUCUUCUUGCCUUGUAUAUGUUCAAAUACAUUGUAGAAAGUAUGUUCUGAGCAUCAAUCCAUUUAGGACCUCUCUCUCUCUCUCUCCAUCUCUCUGCCAAUAUCCCUGGUGUCAUAUUUUUUUGAUGGACGGUGUCAAUGUCACAUGUCAUUUAUCAACUGAGUGAACAUUACGCGACAGUGGAACUCAUGUCAAAUAAUGAUUAUACAUUGGACCGCAUAUUAUCCAGUACCCGUGUAUGCUAUAAUUUGUAUCAUAUGACUAUGACAGAAAAGAAUUAUCACAUGCAGCAGCCUAUUAUUACUGCAGAUGUGAAGCUAUAUGCUAGGCUGGAGUAGAAUUAUUAGUCAACUUUGGGGUCUCCUAACUCAUUUUCCUUCAGCUUAGUGGAAUAUAUGCUUCAUAUUUUUUUUGUUCAUUACUUCUGCAAUUGAUUCUGGAUGAUGUACCACAUUUUUCUUGAGAUAUUCUUGAUGAUGUAUCAUUGCUAGCCAUUGAUAAACAAAAUGCUUAAACAUUUCGUUUUUGUCAGGUGAUCAGUUCUCGUAAGAGCAAAGUUAAGCAGUCGAGGACAAAAGUUAUUUCGGAGUAUGGAGGGGGAGAGGGUCAAACACUCCUAUGUGAGAACUGCGACAUACAAUCCCUGUAGUUGACAACUGCUGUAAAAAUAUAGAGGCUGCAACUUGGAUGCAUGCUUGGAUAAUGCGGACAUGCCCUUUGGGUCUUUUCGUUGAUAAGCCUUCCAUUGGCAUGGUUUUAUUGUUUGGUUGUGUUGUUGUACUCCUGCGAGCUUGUUCAAAAUAUAAGGAAAAGGCUUCUGAAAUGUAUGUCAGUCAUCAUUGCUCAUAAUGUAAUAGGUUUCUGAUAUUAUCCUGUUCAACGUUAGUCAAGAUGUCACAAGACAAAUCACUUCCGUUGCUUAUCUCACCUCAAGAAUCUUAUAUGCAGCUCCUUACCCAAUUGCCAAGAAGUUUGCUGCUUCAUUUGCUCUGCGACGACAAGGAACCUGAGCCCACGCAAAGCUUGUCCAUAACCACUAAGGAUACAAACAUAUUGAAUCCUAUGACGGUUUACUGAAGAUGGCAACGAACUUCCGCAGGAAAAUUUGCAUCCAUAUAGCAAAUGAAGGAACAAAUGUUGACCAGGGCAGUCGCUCAAAUAGGCAUGGCAGCUGGAUCCCGAAUUAAAAAGCAGCAGCAGAAGCUCAAAUCAGUGGACCCAAACAGAAGCCAAAGCUGACAGAAUUGAUCUGCAGUAAUAUUGCGAGUCCUGUGCGCUACCAUGCUCACAAGUUCAGGAACUCAAAUCCCAUCAAGUUAUACAUUUGUAUGCCUUCUUUCUCUCAGAUGUCUGCCUUUUGAGAGAGCUUUGAACUGCUUUUCAUCUAAGAUUACAAAUUCCUCAUUGAGACAUAACAUUAAAAAAGUCAAAAUGGGGCUCUGCAGAAAAGACGAAGAAAAAUCCAGCCAGGUAUACAUCCAAGAAAAUUGAAUUUUUAUGCUGUAUCGAGUCUAAUACUGACGCUAUCUGCUGCACUCAUCCUGUAUAUAUAGUGGAUACAUUUGGGUUACCAAGCACCCAUAGGAAAACAUAAAUCAAAUUGGGUUGAAAACCCAUUCUGUUGUUGGAGAAUAAUCUUGGACACAAGAAAAUAGCAAAAGCAAAGUCGGAGAAACUGAUACCGGGCACUGAUACUAGUUGCUCGAUGGGACAAAUCGAUACAGAUCCGUGCUGUAUCAUGCCGGGCCCGUACCGAUACAAUAAAAGAGACGGGGGAGAGCGAGAACGAGAAAGGAAGAGAGAGAGAGGAGGCCGAGAGAGGCCAGCAGAGAGCUAGAGAGUCGCCGAGAGGCUGUGGAAGAAGGACUGUUCGAAACGAAGGAUCGGAGCAAGCCCCUCUUUCACAGCUCCCUCCUCCGCGCGGCGGCUCCCCAACCUCCGAAGGCCGGCCUCGACUUUCCUGUCUCUUCCUCUCUCUCUCUCUCUCUCUCCCUCCCUCCCCCACUCUCUCUNNNNNNNNNNNNNNNNNNNNNNNNNNNNNNNNNNNNNNNNNNNNNNNNNNNNNNNNNNNNNNNNNNNNNNNNNNNNNNNNNNNNNNNNNNNNNNNNNNNNNNNNNNNNNNNNNNNNNNNNNNNNNNNNNNNNNNNNNNNNNNNNNNNNNNNNNAUAUGCCUCAUAGAUCAGCAGCUCCAAGUAAUGAUAGACGAUAACAUGCAACGACAAUAUCAUCAUCCACCAUACUUGGUCAGAGCAAUAAAAUAGCACAGAGGUUUAUACCUGCAUCAAGAUUUAUCUAGAUAUAUGACUGGGAGCAAAAUAAAUUUUCAAAGGUGAGAUAUUACUAGCCUAAGCAAGGUUUGCCGUCUCGGUAUUGCAUUCCGUACCGGUGCCACACUAGCACAGUGUCAAUAUAGUGCGGUACGAAUUUUUUUUGGUGUACCGACACUCAAUACGCCACCUGUAUCGUAUACUAGUACCGAACCGGUAUGAUACAAUACGCUCUGUACUGUCUAGUUCAGAUCGAUACAGUAUGCCCUGUAUCGCUUGGUUCAUACUGGUAUGGCGUACCAUAAGUCUAAGUAUUUGUAAUCAAGGAUAGCGUAAGAAACUAAAGGGCUUCAAAUCAGAGCCUUCAAAACCUAAGUUGGGAGCUAGAAGUAGGCCCCUAAUGCUGGAAAGUCAGAUUUUUGUUUCAAUCAUGCAAGGAAAAAAAUCUAAAAGUUGUAUAUGGAUAAAAGGCAAAACCAUUUAUAAAAAAGAAACAAGUUCAAGUUUCACAUUACAGGUCAGAAGACACCUCCAGGAAACUAAAUUCUAUUUUGCAUCAGAAAGCUUGGUGCAGAUCUUAUCAGCAUAGAAUCCAAACCACAUCUCAACGACCCAAAUUAACAAUAAAUAUAGAUACAACAAAUGCACACUUAUGAAAACUAUCACAACCAAACUAUUUUGACUGCAAUGUUUCAUAAAGAAAGCACAAAUAAAUUUAACUGAGAAUUCAAAAAAAAAGGGGAAGAUGGGAAAGGCAUUAACAUAGCGAGCAAGUGCUGAGGAUCAGAAAAUGCCAGACCUAGAUAUAAUGGUAUCCAGAAGAUUUCUGGUAGCUUUAUAUGAAGAUGUAUCAUUGAAAUCAUCUUAAUCGAUCUCCAGGACUACACAACCUCAAGAUGCUGUCUUAUGCGUCUGCAGGGAUUGAUACCUUUAUGGAUUAUAUAAUGGCUGUCACCAUCAAGCCUGUACCUACAGAUAGUCUCUUGGAACCCGCAUGCCGAAUCCAUGUUUCAUUUUCUCAACCCUGUACAAAAUAUAAGUGAUUGAAACACAUGCAUACACUCCAUGCAGUACAAAAUAUUGGCAGACAUACAUGUCAUCUAGAAUAGGAAAAUAUCACCAAUAGAUUUGAAGAUGCAAUAUUAAAGAGACACCUCCAUUAGGUCAUGAGUAGUGAAGAAGUAUUUUUGAUAUGUUAAUCUAUAUAUUAUUGUUAACACAUAAAGAUAUAAAAGAACAAAAGUUAAGUCUCAUUCCAUCCAGAUAAGGUCAGCAAUAGAGCAGAACUUGAACCCAACUUCGAAAAAGGAGGGGAGGGCUUGGUGGAAGGUGUGAACCGGUUGCUGCUACAAGGCUGCUAACAGUCUAUGGCUGUUACAAUACUCUCUUUCCCACCUCGGACAAAGGCGGCAAGAAUGGCCUUGUUGCGCAUGCACACAUAUCAAGGAGAGGUUAUAAGAGUCCUCUAGCUUAGAAAAAUAAACUUCUGAAAUAACAUUAAGAUUUAUAAGUUAAUAUUUAUGAUAAUGCAAGUAAUCACCCAUUAAUGGGGCGAAUUGUUAAAUCAUAGGAAUAACUUAAUAUGGGACUGCAUUCUGUUGACUUGCAUGUGCCUCUGAAAUGAAUUAGGCCUUGUAUAUCACAAGCUACCAUCCUCCCCCUUCAUUUAAACCUUUUGCAAAUCUCGGGGAAUUUUGGGGUUUGCUCUUUGCUGCAUGAACUUAAACUGCAAUAGUUAAGGUAGAUUUGACUUUAUAGCUUUCAUGGUUGGCCCCUACUUUGUCUAAAUAUUUUGACACCGAUAGAGCACUGACAUCUGGUUGACAGUCAUAAAUUUUGCUCAAUCCUCUAAUGAAGCCUCUUAAGGUUGCCCUCUAUUUCCGACCCCAUGCUUUGAUGGGAAAAGAAGGCUUGGAUAAUGAUGAUGAUGAGUUUGAUGAUGAUUACAACAUAUCAUGUAAUAUAUCUGGGCGACUAAUUUGCCUUCUUAAUUCAAGGCAUUCACUGCAUAGGUGAUGCACCAUGCUCACGCACGUAGUCAGACCACCUAAGCAAUCAUGUGGCUUCCAGAGAUGAACAGUCCAAAAUUUUUGGGUCAGAGACGAGUUUAAGAGCCUCAUUGUCAUUUUAUAGGAAUUCUGAGAGCAGCUUAACCCAUUUAAAUGUCAAAUAUAUCUUUAUCUUUGAGCAAAUGUCAUGCAUCUCAUGUAUUCAAGUUCAUCCAAAUUGCUCGAGCAAGACCACAAUAAUAUUACCUCAGAACAUCCUCCAUGAUAUUCUACCUAGUAACUAGCACUUAUAGAAUUAAGCUUUCUUUCUAUAGAGUUGAUCAUAUCAUUAGGAAAGCAGGUAAUAAGUUCAAACACGAAAAGAUUUAUCCCAAACAUGAAAGGAAAGGUGCAGAGACUCACGUUGGUGCAAGCUUGCCAAGACUAUCUAGCUCUUCACCAGAAGAUUCAUCCCAAACUUUCCCAGAAAUCUCAAUUAUAUAGCAUUGACCUGCAGUAGUUGGGAGACCUCGACCAGCAAGCAAUUCCAAAUCUUUCUGAUGAAGCUCUCUCCCAUUAACAAGUACACCGGUAUUGCCACCGGCACAAUUCUUGCGCAUAGGAUAAUUGAACUCUUCAAUAAAUGGCUGCAGAACAGAAUGUUUCAUCAAAAGGUCUUGUGGUGGAAUGCUUACAGAAUUAUUAGUAUGCACGCACGUAUGAAUUUCAGUUGCUCUUACAGGAAUUAUGCCAAGACAUGGAUGCCCCAUUACACCCCAGAAUCCAGCACGGUAGUCAUACCUGAAUAAGAAGGCAGGAAAAACAUGAGUACAGUAUUUUAAAGGAUGACAAUGAUUCAAAGCAGGUGCUUACAUCAAGGGACCAUAACAUAAAGAUUGAAUGUCAGCCAGCAACUUCUGAUUCAUUAUGCAUGCCAUAAAACAUUACUACAUCAACCUUGCAUGCAAUUACAUGACUAACAAGGCAGCAUGUUCAGCAAUCCACACCCUAAGCAGCUGUGGCAACAUUAAAACAUACUUGGAUAUGUUGAUUGGCCGGUCAAAGAAAACUUGCAGUUCAUAAAUCUCAUUGACCAAUGAUAUAGCACAUAAUCAAAAUUUCAUGUGAUAUUGAAAUGUUUUUUUCAAAAAUGUUCUCUGUUUUAAAAUUACCAAGCUGAAUAAAGCUUGAAAUGGGUAUUUGCUCCCUCAACUCUAAGUCUGACUGUCUUCGACAUGUCUGAUCACAAAUCCAGGUUAUUAGUGAUUUCGCCUUUGUUUUCCAUUUUCAUAUUAAAAAUUCAAAGCAAGGUUAUGGAGCCUAUUGAUAGCAAACUGAGGAUGCUAUUUUCCAGAAUCUCAUAUCUCAACAUUGUAGUUAUAACUUGUUUUCUUGACAACCUGCAUUUAAACAUAUUGAUUUUUGUCACCUCAAUAAUACACUAAAGCACCUAAAUAUUACAAAAUAUAAUUAAUAUAAUACAUUAUUUCCUAUAUUGUAGUCAUCUUACCAUUCACAACUUAUAAAGAGAUUAAUGAAGCACCUAAAUUUAGAUGCAUGGAUCAUAAAACAUUAGAAAAUGCAAGUCAUGGAUGUGGAUAGAUGUCUUACCAAUAGUAACCAGAAUAGAUUGGUCCAGCUUGCUUUUCAGCCUUCUUAACUAAUCGAUCUGGAAUAGGAUGACCGUUAAUUGAAACUUUAGCUCUGCCAUGCCCCAACGAUUGGUUGAAUCGAGAGAAAUCUCUAAAGCUCUUCUUUAUAAGGCCGGUAAGGAAUGAGUCACCACCCUUGACAGCUUUAGGUUGACCUUCAUCUUUGCUUAUCAUGUCCCAAGAAUCUUGAGACAAACCAGCAGUUGGAUAUUCAUCAGAUGACAAAUCCAUCUCAGUUGCCACUGGUACAUCUUUUACUGAGUUGUGCUUAAAAUUUGCAUUUUCUAGUAUGCUCCUCUCUUGAUCAGAGCGUUGACUCCUGCUUCCCUUUCCAGGCCCAUCAGCUACUUGAUCAGACAAUGAGUACCCAAAAUGCUCACGAAGUGGUAAACUUGGGAUACGUGAAGUUGCUUCAGCUUCCACGGGAAUCUCUGCAGAGCUUGGGGCAUCUUUAUGAGAAAUCACACUUUCCGGGCUCUCCACAUGCCCAGACAUGCUCGAGGAUGAGGACAGGCCUUGCAUUUUCUCUGAAUCACUAAAAUUCAAACCAUUCUCUUUUUCUACCAAGCCAUGAUCGAAAACAUCAAAACUGUAAGGCAGAAGUAUCUUCUCAUCUGGGGACUGGAUGCCAUUGCUUGGGCUAUCGGUAUUUUUUUCGGAAGAUACAUGCGAGGUUGGCGCAGAUGAAGAAGCAACAAGUCUACUUCCAUCAAGCUUGACCGAGACUACCUUAGAGCAUGACCCGCACUGCAGCUUAAACUGAUUCUUGUCCACCAGCAAAGAUUUUUUAGGUAGUUGCAGCAAUUCAAAGCAGUUAUAACAUAUAGAGAAGGGGGCGGCACCAGCAAUGGGUUGGCAAGAAUGGCCGACCUUCUUACUGAAAACGGUUCUCUGGUGGGUUUGUGGCUCGCGAGAAUGAAAAGGAGGAUUCGCAACUCUUGAAUUAUAGCUUCCUCCACCAAAAAUCGAGGGACCAUCCAUGGGGUACAAUCCUUGAUUGUUGACAUAAUAGGGAACCUCCUGAUGACUGAAAACGGUGGGUGGGCACUGCACAGGCAGCGAGAAUUGUCUCUGGUAGCAAUGCGGGCAUGAGCAUGCAGGUUGAUGGUAAAAACCAUCAUGAUGACAAGGGAUGGCAGGAUAAGGAUCGAACCGUCCGUAACCGUCAAACUGCCUGUGUGGGUAGUGACCAGGUUGGUGAAAGGGGGCUCUUCCAUGUAGUAGCAGCUGCCCGUAUCCAGGAACAUCAUUUUGUGCAGGCACAGUAGAAUGAAAGUUUGACGCGUCCAUUUUCUGUGUGCUCAAAAAUGAAGAACUCUGAGAAGUAUUCCUGUUCAAUGAUGCAGAACUUUCAUGAAACCAAGCACCCCGAUGGCCAUAAGAACUUGAAGUUGUCAUCUGCUUUACAGGAGAAGCAUUUUGUUUGUCUGCGACCUCACAAGUUCUUUGCACCUGAUCUCUCAAUUCAUCGAGCAUCUUCAGAAGCUCUGCUCGGUCUUGAUUGAGGCAGCUAGCUCCCUUCGGCAUGAGAUCAUGCUCACCGUCACCAUAUCUAUAUCUUGGAUUCUGAUGGUAGUCGGAUGGACCUUCAUCAGGAUAAGGAGCAGGCCGAAUGCCAUCAAUCGGAGCCCUGGGUUCUCUGUCCCUCUCUUCGCCCUUCUGGGCUUGUGUUUGCUGAGCUCUGUGAUGCCCAUUGUUGCAUUCAGCUAGUGGUUUGUUUUCUGCUUCGCCUUCUAUGUCUGAUUUAGUCAAUUCAUUCACAUUUGGGACGAAAUCGCAGACUGGUGCUUUAGAUUGGAGAUGAUAGCCAUCACCCCUGCCCUCUGUUCCGCUUCCUACGGAAUGAUCAUCCAGUCUCGAGGUGUUGAAUUCCUGCAAGACAGCACCAACUUCCCCUGCGGAGACAGAAUGACUGUGGGAAGCCGUCCCUUUGUCUUUAAUUAACAUCUCCUCGUUCCUGAACUCCGCUCUAUCGGCCGCUGCGCUUGCGUCGAAAACCAUCCCUUUCUUCUCACCAGCACUCUCCGAGACCUCAAGAUAGCUGACCUUUUCUCCAUCAGAUUUCUCCAACGAAGCUUCUGAUCCUGGAAUUUGCUUCUUUGCUGCACAAUUUUCAGUUAGAAAAAAGAAGAAAACUUACUUGACUCCGUCCAAACUGCUAAACUAAAGUUUACAAACAAAAAACCAGAUGAUGUACCACAGAAAAAGAAUAAAGCAGAUGGAAACCAAAACUUUUCCAUCAAAGAUCAAACGUUUCUAAUCAAAAUCAAAAUUUUCUCUCAAAUAUCAAACCUUUUACUCAAAAAAAUCAAUUUUUCUUUAGGACAACAUCGAUUCUCGGUUAAAAUCACUGAAAAAAAUUCCCAAAACGAGCAAAUGAGAGAAGCAGAGGCAAGGGAAAGCUCAUGAUAUACCUUGAAGAGUAGCAUCGCAACCACCGCAUCGGUAGACGGAGAAAUUGGGAAGUUCCGGGAGAAGCUUCCCGCACUUGGGGCACCGUACCACCCGGACCUUGGCUCCUCCUUCCGCCAUAUCUUUCAAGCAGAAAAAUGCCUACAGAAACUCCACGGCUCCAAAAAGAAGCACCUUUAAACCCUUCCAAACCCUCACAAGAGGAUAAGAAGCAGCAGCAGCAGCAGCAGAGGCCUCCCUUCACUUCCUCCAGCCACCCCCCACUACCAAGUUCCGUCCUUUCCCACGCCAAACGAGACGAGAAGGAAUCGCCUUCACGACAAGCAGCAGCGAACCCAAGAGCCCAUCAAUCGCUGCUGUUGCCGGGUACUCCGCCUGUUAUGUCAAGCAAAAAUAGCACCCAAAUUUCUCCACUUUUAUCACGGAAAACUCUCCCCUCCCCUUCUCCAUUCUCGCGAUUCCGCCGUGAAAGAGAGAUUGUACGAAAGGAUGGAAGGCUGAGAGAGAGAGAGAGAGAGCGCGGGGACUGAGACUGUGGAGAACGUCGGAGUAAUGAUGAGAGAGGCGCGAGGUUGUGUUCCGCUUCUUUUGCUUUUCGUUCAUUUACUCGGCGAGUUCUUUUAGCUACCAUCGCUGGACGGGUCAAUUGAUCGGGGAGGAUUAUUAUAAGUAGUAGUGGUAGUAGUAGUUUGGCGUUUGGUUUGUUCUUUUUUUUUUUUUUUGGGUUACAAGGUGGUUUGUUCUUCCGAAGCGUGGAAUGGAUAAAUCUUUGUCCUACGCUUAACUUGUGUCCCUCUCUCAUUUGAAAACUAAAUGCUGAGAAGGCCCAUGCAGUUGACAAUGCCCGUGUGCUCGAUAGAUCCGAGGUCUGAGAUGAGUUCGGAACCUCUGCGGUUUAAUUUUGCACUUCAAAAUUUUAUACUACUGCAGAUACAUACCACAUCACCUAUUUUACAGAUAGAAAAUUUUUAUUUAUCUUACAACUAUAUAAAUAUUUUUUUAGUACGAUAUGUAAUGUAGAUAGAGAUAAAAAAAGAGCCAUUCAUUUUCCAGAUAAGUGAGCCAGAUUUGUUUAACCUAAACCCUUCCUUUCUCUCCUCCUUCUGUUCUGAAGUUAAGUACAGCCGUAUUUCGGAUUGCACGAAUAUCCGGUGAGGGUGGAAAGAGGAUUUCAAACAGUUCAACUCUAGUCUCACUAUCGUAUGGUAGAAUGGAGCCCUUUUUUUUUUCCGAUUCGGUGAAGUGUUUGAAUUGGUUCAAGAAGCAAGCAUGCGCAACUGGUCUAAUCCAAUUGACAAUAAUACCUGAACUUUCCUUAGGAGAGAUUUUCUUUUCUUAUUCCUAGGUUUCCUCUCCCUUAAGGUCAAGUUGGUUAUAGGGCCCAUCUCUUAUUCUUGCUUGUUUCCUUCCUCUCUAAUGGUCCGACAAGUUGGUUAAAUAUGUUCAAUUAAUAGGGUUCUUUCUCUAGAGAAAAUCGUCUUAAAAAGCUCUUCUCUUUGACGAAGAAUAUUUUCUGAUAGCUAUUUCUAAUAGUAUCAUAUUCUAUGAUGCAAAAGUCAUAAUAUAAAUUUUAGUUGUAUCUAUUACGAUAAUAUUAAGACAGUUGAGUUGAGUGUACAAGACAUUUAAAUGUUGAAAUUUAGUAGAAUAAUAAAGAAUUGAGAUACCAACGGUAUAAUUAUAAUUUAUUGUUGACUAUUACAAUAAAAAAAUUAUUAAUCACAACAAUGCAAUUUUUCUGCCAGAUAAUUAUUAGUUGGAAAAUUCUCUUUCAGACUUAUACUAAAAAUCGAAUUUAAAUAUUAUUUUUAUUUUGAAGGGUAACGCAAAUACACACAUCACUACAAACCCUAUCAAACUUAUAUAAAUGGCCAUCCAUAAAAUCAUAACAAUUGCGAUUGCAAGACCUUGACUUGUGUUGGAACCAUUAUGUACUAAUUAGUGGAAUUAGCAACAAUUAUUUGCUCAACUCACCCCUUUAUUUACUUCCAAAUUUAAAUAGGAUAAAUUUAAUUCUCGGGCCUCAUAUGAGAAUUUUUACGCAUGCUUGUUUUUGUUCUAUAUGUAGUUAUGUUUGUUUGUCACUUGGGUUGACUAAAAAGUUAACAUCUGAAUUCAUUUUGAGUUUUUUAUAAAAAAAAUUAAAACAUGGCUCUAUUUAUGAAUGUGUACGUUUGUAAGUACGAAAAAUUGAUGACUAAUUAAUAUAGAAGAACCAGAUCUACUUUCAUGGACAAACAGCACCAAAUUGGCUGUCCGAUGCAUGGGUCCAUUCCUGUCUACAAGAUGCAUGGGCCCAUUCCUGUCUCCAACUAGCAACAUUGAUUGGUGCCGUGCCUCACGUGAACACCGUUCGAGUUUGCAUGCUUUUUAGGAGGGACCUCUAAUUAGGAAAAGAAUGGUACUAGCGAGCAUGUUUACGUCCAGAUAACAAUGACCGAGCAGUGCAACAUACGACAAAGUGUACCCGUAUCCUGUAUUUAAAUACACGAUCCUGUUAAUAUGAGCAAGUGUAUCCCAUACAGAAAAGCACUACAUACAUGAUCUCUUUAGUUAAGAUAGCAUGGUUUCAUCUAUGUGAUAUAAUUUUUCAGGUUUGUUCAGGAUGUUGGGCAAUUGAUGUUGAACUACUGCUUGAAUUAGUUUAUAAAAUGACCAUUUAAACAUUUACUGCAAGAAAAUGCUUAAGGACAUAUUGUUUUCCUCUAAGAAGAUGGAGGAGGUUAUCCCCCAUUCAGCUACCGGAUGUAGGUGGGAUUUGAACCAAGUCAUUGAGUAUCAACAUCCAGAAUGAUUUCACUAAUUACUGCAAUUGACAUCCAUAUUUUAAAACACUUGUUAAGGUAUAUGAUAAUUUCAUGGAGCCUACUAGUUCUAGUUUAGCAAUCUAAUAAUCAACCAUUUCCUCUGUACAAUACUAGUACCAUUGAAUUAAAAAAAAAUCCUCUUGCACCACCUCAUAAGUGGAAGCUUUCAUUUAUACAAAAUAGGCUUCUCGGAGCAUUACCCCUUUAUCAUGCCAUAGGUUUCUCACCAUCUUACACAUAAUUUGGGGCUACUGAAAUUGAUUUCUAUGAGCCGUUUGUUUAUACUUAUUGGAUGUUAAUUUUAGGGUAUUUUAUUCAUUGUUCAGCAUGAACUUUUCUACUGUAGACAUAAUCGAAAUUAUAGGAAGCUUCGAUAAAGACUAGCUAAAUUACAUCUUGACCUUUAAUGAUAAAAGUUUAUUCAUAUAUCUUUUUAGUCUUGUAUAUUGACAACAAAUGUAUAUAUAUAACUAGCAACGUAGUUACAUUACUCUCUAUGUGAGAUGGGAAAAAGACUAGGUGCGGAGCCUUCUUGCAAAUUGUGGGCAAUUAAAUAUGCAAAUUCAUAAACACAAUAAUAAUCUUGCAAAGUGCUAAAAUUUAGCACCAACCUUAGAUUAUCUUAACCAUUUCAAAAAUUGUAGUGAAGUAUGUAAACAAUGAUGGACAAUGAAUUUAAUGAAUUGGAUAGUUCAUAGACUAUCAACAACCUAAGUUUGGUAUGAACGCAUUAUUAGAUUAAGCACUGACUGAAAGGCAUGCCUACCUAAUUCUUUCUGACAACUCACCAUCUUACACAAGUAUGCACAUAAGAUAAUGCAAAUAAUAAUUCAAGCAUUGGACCAUUUCCUACAUCUGUAGCUAUCUUUGGUGCGUCCUUUGAAUAUGUCCCUCUAACUCUGAAAGUACCAGAAUGACGACAAUUUAUAUAUAACCACAAUCUAUAUAUACACACACGUACACAGGCACAUAGUUAAAUUAUUAAAUAAAUUCAGCUGAAUUAUCAAAGUACAAUAGUUUUGUCAACUCAAGGGAGCACACAGAAGUCGAAGCAAAAUAAGUCGCCUCACCCAAUUCAUGGCCAAAUUAGCUACUUUGCGUGCUUCUGUGUGAAUAUACCAAAAUUUUAAUUUUUUAAUUUACAUCUUUUCGAUGCUUUUUAUAGUCUCUUCUGCCCUGCAGCUUCAAAGAUCCUCAACAACUGAACGAAUGCUUCAUGAAGCAAUUCACCAACUUUUUCUCAAACCAUAAGCAAGACAAGGGAGUCACCUGCAGUGAUUAUCCUUAAUUAUUUAUACGUACCACCUUUGAGAGGACUAGGCGUCCAUGGAAAAAGACUUGUAGGAGCUGCUUGUUCUUCAUUACACUUUGCAAGAUGGAACCAGCCCAUCCUUGUAUUUAAGAUCAAGAUGUUAGUGUCCAAAUGGGCCCCUCACGAUCCAAUUCGAAGAUAACGGGUUCAGGUUAAAAAAAAAGAAGAAAAUAUUAUGAGGGGAGACAGCUCAUGCUAGCCUAGCCGAAAAAGCGCGGUCAAUCGGCGAUCUUUUCCUUUCCUUUUUUUUUCCCUCUUUUUUUUAACAAAUCGAUAAAGUACGGUUUUGGCAGUUGAGUUCUUCUGAACGACAUGAAGAGCUGAGAAGCGGGGCGGGAAUCGUGUCCUACUUCCGAGGAGUCGGACUUGAAAAAGAAAAGGUCCGAAUCCUACCAAUUCUCGACUUUAUGUCCCGUUACCGGGCCCGGUCCAGACCAGGCCCAAUCUACCCUUCUUUCGAAGACAGACGUUCGUUCCGUGUCUGAUCUUGCGAGGAAGUUGCAUUAAAGAGAGCGAGGACGAAGGGUGUUUUAGGGAGUUGGGCCAGGAUGGGCAGGACAGGCUGCUGCACGUGGCAAUGCCAGGCUUUACACGUGUCGGUAUCUGGUCUCGCUGCUUCAUCUGAUGCAAAUGCAGGACAGGGGAGCAGCGGGAAACACGGUCAAAGAAGAAGAGGGCGCGGUACACGAGAUAAUGGUUGUCAGUACCGAGGAUCGAGUUGGCAGCCUACGGUUUUGGGCGAACCCCGCCAAAUACAGGCUGCUUCGGAGUCCGGCGUAGGGCCAGCUAGGCGUAGAUCCUAUGGUUGAACAGUCGCAGCAACGGAACAGUUGAUAUGGGUCCAAUUAUUUGAAGCCAAUCAUGCAACCAUUCUAUAACAAGUAUUAUAAAUAUAAUUGUAAAAAGAAAAACCUCAACUUUUCCUCAUAAAAAAGUAAAAAAAAAAAAAAAACGAAAUAGUAAGUGUAAAGUUCAUUGUUUUACUUAAUAUAUCUAAUUGUCAAGUUCGAAUGUUCAAUAUGGCAUAGGCUCGGUCCGACCUUAGGAAAGUUUCUUUCUGCGUACCCAUAAGAUUUAUCUCAUGGUAUAUGAGCUUUUUUCGUAUUUAUCUAGAGAGAUAUCUGCAAAGACUUAAUGCAUGAUGUUUUACAUUGUUUUUAAUUUUUUAAAAAAAUUAAAGGUUAAAAAACAAUUGCGGAGGAUAGUUUUUUUUUUUUUCCUUUGAUGUAGUAUAUGCCUGUUCCAACAAAAUGAUGAAUAGAAUGAUGCACUCCCUUUCCAAGUUCAGACUUCAGAGGGGUUCAAAAUGGUGUUUGAUUAUAACAAAAGUAAACUUUUGGAGAGAUGUCCCCCACUGUACCAAAUAGGACCCUAUGCAUUUAUUUGGAAUCCAUACUCGAUUCAAGAAGGCUAUAGAUCUCAGUUGAGUCUAAAUAUGUUCUGAAUCUGCAAGCCUCAAUACCGGUCCAACUGGUUUUUGCAUUUGAUCCUUCAAGAUCAUUUGUCAAAGGAAAUCGCUAAAUUAAGUCUUGAUACUAACUAUGAUCAAUAUUUAUUGAAUGCAGGGUGGUUGCUCCCGUGCUCUUGCAUCCAAAUUUUCACAUGUACCAGUAUGCAGGCGGACAGCGGCACUUUGGCACUGGAUAAAUAGAUGGCGAGACCAAUUUCAGGCAAAAGUGGGCUUGUGAUGAGGGUUUAAAUAGGAAAACUGCUCCUUUUAGAGGUGCAGGCCGAAGCCAUAUUAUUUCAUGCAAUGCGCCAUUCUUCUGCUAUCUUGUGCCUCGUUGCUGAUUCGUUUCGGUUCGCAGUGAUGCCCGGAUCAUUCAUCUGCCUGAGUUGACCCCUAUUUGCGAGGCUUUAUUUUUUUCCUCUUUUUCGACCCACUACUGCAACCUUUGCAGAAGUAAAGAGAGACAUGGGAUCUGCUGAGAAAUUUCAUCAUAUAAAGGGAACACAUUUAAGGAACCGCAUAAGGAGCAAGCCAUGGUGGUCUCAAAAGCAGAGGAAAUGGAAAAGACCAAAUCUUUCUUUGAUCCUUUAACUUUAAUCAGCUUUGUUUAAAGCUAGUACUGGAACACCAACUUUAAGACCGGACGGGAAUUUCCUACAUCCGCUUCAUUCUCCCAUUAAAGGACGAAGAGAGAUCAGCUUGUAUUUUAUUACUAAGAAAUGGCGACCACAAGGUUGUAUGCUGUCCCAUUAACCACAAGGUCUGUUAUACAUAAGCAAUAACUUUUAAUGACGACCAAGUACAAAUUUCUAUCAUUAGUACUAGCAUCAUUGAUAGCAGCUUUCACAUAGCAAUUGAGAGCUCUACAUAAGCUAAGCCUCGUUUAGAAACUCUCAUCAUUAAUAUGGAUGCUAUUGAUCCAAAACCAUAUAAUGUGAUUUUUCCUCUUUUUACUAACUAUUUUCAAUAUGCCAUACGACAGUGCAACAAAUAUAACAAAUAAGACGUCUAAAUAGUCAAAUUUCUGUUGUAUAUUAAAUAAUGGAAUUCAAUAAUGAUUGGAGAUAUUAAUAUCUGCAUCAUUAAUAUCCAUUGUAUAAUAAAAAAUAAAAUUUAACAAUGACCAACAAAUUAAUGCUAACAUCCAUACAACGAAUAGAGACCUCUACAGAAAUUAAGCGACCAAGUAUAAAUUCUCAUUAUUAAUACUGACAUCCAAAGUUUGCUGCCUCGGUAUCGAAUCCUAUAGUGAUGCCAUUCUAUUACUAUGCCGGUACACCCAGUGUAGAGCUAAUUCAGUAUACCGACACUUGGUACACCUCUUGUAUCGCAUACUGGUUCGGUAUCCCUUCUAUAUCGUAUACCGAUAGCGUCAAUAUGCAUUGAUACCAACCGGUACGACAAACUUUGUCGUCAUCAUUGAUAUCAGUGUCCAUAUGGCAAAUGAAGAACUCUACAUAAGCAAGCUUUUAUGUAAAUACUCUCGUCAUUAAUUCUGGUGUCUUUAAUUCUAGCGUCAUAUAAUGAGUACAAUUUUUUUAUUUUUUAUCUAUUCUUGAAAAUAUAAUAAUAUAAUAUAGUAUAUUAUAAUAAAUAAAAGGCUUCAAUGUCGCAUAGUAAGCAAUAAUUUUUAGUGAUAGAUAAGUACACUAAUAUCAUCAUCAUUAAUAUUCAUUGCAUAUUCAGUAAUGAACUUUAAUAAUGGCUAGCAUAUUAAUAUUAACAUCAUUAAUACAGGAGUCUACAUGAUGAAAAAGAACUAAGCCUCCAUUAUAUACAUGUAGGAUGCAUGCACCGUGCAUCCAUUCAUCCAUCCAUNNNNNNNNNNNNNNNNNNNNNNNNNNNNNNNNNNNNNNNNNNNNNNNNNNNNNNNNNNNNNNNNNNNNNNNNNNAUGUAUAUACGCAUGUGUGUAAGCAGGUACGUAUGCAGCAAAUAAUUCAAGCUUUGAUUGUCCUCAUGGAAAUAUCAACUGUACCCUUGAACUUUAUUAUAUAAAUUAGUUUAUUUAAUCACAAAUUAAAGUUGCGUUCUGUUAUGCAAUUCAGAGGCGAAUAAUGUCCACCGUUGAUAAACAAAUGCAUGAUAUUUUUUUAUAGUUUAGCAUGUUUCAUCUGGUUAAUAAUAGAGUCGUAAUUGAUGGAUGAAUUAUUUCUACCAUAACACAUAUUAAAGGACCUUUGUUCACAGUCAUUGGUAGGGGUAGGCUAUGACUCUUAGCUAUUUGUAAUGACAUUUUUUUAUUCCGAGCAAGCAUUGGCUGGAGACUGGCAAGGACGAAGUAUGAGUUUAGAGAGAACAGAUAAUUAUUAGAUGGUGGUGGUGAGCAAGACCAACACUUAUAUAACCAAAUAGGACAAAUAUAGCCAAAAAAGUCAGAGAACGUGACAGUAUCAGUUCGUGCCUUCUUGGAGCCAUGCCCCUUGCAAUGAUACUAAGUCCUUGGCCUUCCUACCCAUGGUGACAUCACCACCCUUGGAAUCCAUAACUAUGGUAAUAAUGAUGUCUUCCCUCCUCUCCCCUCCGAUGCUAUGUUCCAAAUUACCAACACCAUUGUUUGAUCCAUCCAUGUCCCCUGUUAAGAUUAGGUGAGUCAUAUAUCUUCCCACAGUCGAGCUCAAUUUCUUUUUCCUAUGUUUUUAAUAUUCAUUAUUAAUUUGCACAGGUUUUUAUGGUGGGAUAUAAUUGGGAAUUGUUUAUGGCAUGGAUUUAAGCAUCUUUUGGAUGAAUAAAGUGCUAGUUUUGGUGAAGUUAAACAUUGUCUCUGGUCUUGAAAUUUAGUUAGAAGUCUAAAAAAAUAUUAGGCUCUUUAAGGUAAAGCUACCUGUGAUUUAUCGCCAUCUCAGAGACUUUCGGGAAUAAACAUCUUUCCUUCCUUGGAAGCUUGUACUCGAGUACAAGAAAUGGUGUGCUCCAACAAGCCAUGCAUAUACCUGCACAUGUAAGGAUAAAUUAAGUUCUGCAAUACUUGUUGGAGAGGUAUAAAUUCUCCACCGACCAGAAUCAGUUCCUCAGUGUAUGGAGUCAGCACCAUUUCUGUCUAAGCUUGGAAAUUAAUGCGGCAUGAACUUGCGGAAAAAACAACCAUACAUUGACACCAAAACUUUAGAAAAAUAAUGCAGGUCUGAAAUGUGAAUAUGAGACUAAGAUACCAGCUUAAUCAGUAGAGUUUUCAAAGCUAACCAGUUUUCUAUUCAACUACCUUGAGUGGAUCGUGAAUCAGGCAAACCCUUUCGCAGCUUGGAGGAGGUUCCAGAAUCAGUAUUUUUUUGUCCAUUCCAAAGAAUUUGGACUCCAUAAUUUCCUUGGGCAGGUUCAGAGUCUUGACUUGUCCAUAAUGCGUGAAUCACUAUCAUACACUCAGAAUGAUCUUCUUCAUGCAAUCAUGUGGAGUUGGCAUAACCAAGUUUCAAUCAAACAAGCACAGAGGUCGAUAACACCCCAUGUCUACUAUUCCAAUAAUCAAGACUAGAGCAUUAUGCAUGUCUCAGAAACUGAUCAGUGGUGCAUACCUGCUGAUGCAGCCGAAACUAUAUGCAGGAAGCCAGUAGCAACAAUUACACUGCGCUUUUCACCUACCCUGGACUUGAGCAACCGAGCAGCAACCUUAAUUGAAUCACUUACAGAUGAAAUAUGACACAUAACCAACAUUGCUGGGUUGUGAUCUGAUGAUCCUCGUGAAUCACUGGGAUGACCCUCAAGAGUCUUCCUAUCAUCAAUCGUCCCCAAUAUCCAAAAAAAUCCAUUCCUAAAUCUAAUGUAGUUCUGAUCCAGACAUCUUUUAAUGUUGAAGCUGAAGCAACAUGAGAUUUUCCUCCUGCAAUGCUGACCUCUGUCAACAACCGAAUCUCUGGCAUUCGACCUGUAAAGAAAAGUAGAGCGGGCAUAAUCUUAAAAAAAAAAAAACCAUGUUCACUUGUCAUUCUGAUUACCUAAGAGAUAUAGAACCAACCAACUUUCAAUUUGUUCUCAAUCUCUAAUGUCCUUAAAUACACACACGAAAGGAUGAAGAUGAGAAUUUUAGCAAUUCACUUGUGUUAUCAUGCUGUCAGUUUGACUUGGUAUAACACUUCCUCAGAAUAAAAGAUAAUAUUGAAAAUUGUUAUGUAUUAUCAGUGAGGAAGUGUGGUUCAUAUGUUAGAUUUAAAAUGCAUCUGAAAGAAGAAUAGAAAAUUAAAAUACUUGGUUUCACAGCUAAGGCAAAAGAAAAGCACCUAAAGAGAAAAACCAUUAGAAAAAGAAAAUAAUACAAUUAAAAAAAUAACAAAAAACAUCAGCAUUGCAUCAAAAGAGCAGACAAACAAGAAAAUGUACAAUGGAUAAUACAAUAUGGGAUAGCCUACCAGAAGAGUUCCUGAAAGUUAUCUAUCAUUAUGUAGUGAGUCACAGUCUUUUUUUUCAGAGUUAUGAGAGAUUCAACCAUACUUCAUUCGCUAAUAAAAGAAAAAUAUUCUUUAAAUUACCAGAUCACCCUAACCUUUAUAAUUGAAAAAGAAAUUAGAAACAAAAUGUAUAUGAAGGAUUAACAGAGGAAAUUGAAGUUUUUAAAAUAAUUUUAAUGUCAAUAUUGAUGACUUCUCUUUUAUGUCUAGAAUGAAAGCUCCAUCCUAUUUCACUUACAAGAAAUAAAAGAGCAAUUAGAAAAUUAGAUAGAGUAACAUGACUAAGACAACUGAAAAAAUUUAUGAGCUAGAAAUUUACAAUAUAGAAUAUAAAGUAGUUUAAGACAAAUACAUUGUAAAAAGACUAAAUAAUAAAAUAUGCCUUGUUUCUAUAAUCCUAUGGAUAUGCAUGUACUGCAAAAAUCCUAAUAAUUUGUGGUCCAAAAGUAGGAGAAUAUUUAACAUGUAUAUACAAAAGUUUGUGGAUCUAAGAAAGGUGAGAAAAAGAAAACAAAUAGAGAUGAAAGGAGAUAAAACAAAUAUAGAAGAACAAAAAAAGAAAGAUCCUUAUUGAUUCGUGCUAAAGGUCUACGAAGUCGUUUCUUUUCAUUUUACUCUUUCCUUUUGAAAGCCCAAGCUGGCUCGCUCACUCUCUCUGACUCUCCCUCCCCCCCUCCUCUCUCUUCUCUUUCCUUCAAUAGUUCCCAAAAUUGGUAUUGGAAGUCAAACAGGACCCUCUGUGGCAGGCAUAAAAGGAAUUCUCGAUGCUCGGGGGGUCCAUGGCCCCUCCCCUGAGAUCGACCAUUGGAUUAUAUAAAUAUUUGGGUGGCCAGGAAUACCAUAUUAGCCCCUAUUACCAAUGUAUCUAAUGAAUUAUGGCAAAGAGUAUAACAAUAAUUUUAUGAAUAUUUUGGUUGUGAUUAUCGAAAAGCUAAACUGGAAUGGAGGUCAGAUGAACAGUUCUAUCAUCCUUGGCACUCUCGUCCUGCCUAGACAGCCCACUAAGUGAGCACUUUCUUACGGAACUAGGCACCUGUUUAGGCAAUGGGCCGUCACCUCGACCAUCCAUUUCUAUCAAGUGCUCACCCAACCCAGCCCAAAUAUACAGGACCUGCAUGACUCAAUGUCCAACCCAGUUGAGCAUAGGUUCAGUCAACCCAUUAAGCAAAACCUUUUUUUUAAAAAAAAAAUUGCAGCAUUUUUCAUUACCUUUUCCCCCAUUUUGGAGUUACAAUUGAUGUUAUCAAGAGGAUAUUUCUCUUCAAUAUUUGUUGGUGAUUCCUCUUUGCAGUUUUUUCAAACAAUAUGCUAUUUCCAGUCGGCAGUUGAAGUCAAAAUUUGUGAUUUGCAUAAAAUUGAGUUUAUAUUUGUUGUUAUCUUUAUCUGAUUGUGCUUCGUAAUGAUUCUUCCAUAGGUCAAGCAGCCUAAGGCAAUUUCUUUCUGUUCUCUUUUUUGGGAAUAUGUUAACUUACUUGUUUUCAUUUUCCUAUUGCUUCUCUUGUAUUGUGCUCUGUUUUCAUGUUUUUUAUAGUGUAUAUGAUUGAUAGCAGUAAAAUACCAGCCUUACUACUGUUAUCGUAGUAUAAACGUCAUGUAUAUCAUAUAUGAACCCAUAUUCCACAUCCAAAAAGAAUGUGCUCUACAAGUGGAGCCAAAACAACAUUGAAGUUGAAUACUUCUAUUCCUUAAGAUUAGUACAAACAAUAGUUUCAUGAUAGACUUGGAAGUCUUCUUUCUUUUUUUUUCCUUUAUAAAAAAAGGUAGAUUUCAUGCAUUAAUUAUUAUCAAUGUACCCUAAAAUCACACAAUAUGGAUAGCUUAUUGAAACAAUGCAAGCUUCGACCAACAUUUGAAAUACAUGAAGAAAUUUUUGUAUAAAGUCUGUUGCCCUGGUGGUUGCCUAAUUGCCAUUUCAAUUUUAUAUGCAAUCAAAGGGUACAUUGCCUAGGGUCUUCUCCUGGGCUAUUUGACAACUAGGGUGGCACUAUUUUCAAUUUGUUCAUUUCAAAAAUGCCAUGCAAAUGAUGCCUGUCAGUUAGACAAAAUGUUUUGCAUCAGAUCUUGUCUCACUUUUGCAAAAUCUAAAACUGCCCGAUAUCAAUGAGAUAACCCAGUUUGGACUCAUGAUAAUAUGCACCAAACUUUUCGCAUAGGAUGCAAAGAAGACCACUAUAGAACUAUUAAAGUCUUAUAUUGUGACAACUUAAAUUUGAAGAACAUGAAAUAGAAAACUGAAUGAUAUAUAAGCUUGCAUUUUGGAGCCUGUACCACACAAAUUCUAUCAGUUUUAUAUGUUUGAAAAUACAUGCAAGAGAGAACUAGAUUAGCAUUCGAGAAAAAAUUGUGGAUUUCAAAGUUUUACAUUAUGGUGAGUCAGAGACAAGGACCCAGUGAAAAAUCUGCCUCCUCCAACUACCCCCCAAAGAGAAAGGGGUUCAGCACAAGACCUUACCAAUACAUACUUCUCAGGGGUAAAGCAGCCAUCAAAAGUCAGGAUAAAGCUUCACAAAAGCAGAUUUUAUUUGAUGAGAUUGUAGAGAGGUGAAAACUGAAUCAGAUUUCAGCAGCACUUUAUAGGAUAAAGGAAUAAUGAUCAGAUUAACAAAGUAGGAAUGUAGAAUUGCUGUAUUAUCAUGAAAUAUCAAUUGGUGUUGGCUUUUACUUAAAAGAGAUUCAUCCAGAUACAGAUAAAAGGUAUACAACAACCUCAAAUAGGACUCUUUGGAUUUAGCAUGAAUCUGCAAGCAAACAUUGUGACAGUAUGGCUGGCUCUAUUCUACUUGCAACUGAAGCAUAUUUGGACUUGGUUCAUAAGUCCUCUUUUUCCUGUUUUUUUUCUUUCUUUGCUUUUUUGAGUACAGUGGUUCAAAGGUCCUUCACUAGAGAAGUAAAAUGGUGGAUAUGAUAUAUCAGUGUUAUCCCAUUAUCAAUGUUGUAAGCCAAUAAAAGUCACCAAAAGAAGGGAAACAGAAAAACAACAUUCAUGUCUCAAAGGUCAGACUUUAGUCAAAUGAAAAAGUCAGCUCUCUUGGUCGAAACGGAGGUAAGUCAGGUAAAAUACCUUCAAACAGUCCAAAGUCCCCAACCUCUCAUUGAAAUCUAAGAAUUUUAGAAUUCCUCUUUCAUAUUUCCCACCAACUGGCACCAAGAAUGACUCUUCUAGCAUUCUAGACCAAGUCAAGUACAAAAUCUUAAUUAUAUGCAAAUGAGAGUUGCUUGUACUAAGAAAUAAGACAGGAUCAGGAUCUUAAGUUUCAUAUAUCACACACAUAUGCAGACCUGCUUGACCAAAAUCGAAAAAUUGACCAAGAUCAUGAUCUUGGUGUAUAAUUGGAUUAGGUCUUAGCUAAGCCUAAGACAACAAAUGAUCUAUUGAUGUUCUUAAAGCAAAAGUUGCCUUUGCAUACAACAAACAGAUAAUAUAUAUAUAUUGGUGUCUAUAGUAGAUAAAGUAGAGCAGAUAAUUGUUGGUACGCCCCUUCAUGCUGUUGCAUUUGUCUCCUGAAAGAAAAUUUACUUAUGAAGGCAACAAAGACUCAGAUAUGCUAUGUAAAUUAUGCAGCUGAAUUUAGAGCACCAAAGAUACACCAGUUAUAGGAAGAGCAGUUGUCAACAUGAACCCAUCAACCCAUCCGAAAACAUACCCGAAAAAGAGAAGGCAGGGCGUUAAGCCAAAAGAUUCAAAUUACUCUGAAACCAACCUGUUCAUUAGUGGACUGGCUUCAAAUUGAAUUCCUACACGAUCGGGUCAAUAUGGGCAGGUGGAGAGAGAAAGCAAGGGGGGAGGGCGGCUGCCACCCUCAAUCUCCAGAGCCAACAAGCCCUCCUUUGAAACAUCUCCUCUUGUUCCUACUCUUCUUGGCUUUGGCCCUAUUAUUGCCAAAAUCAUGAAGAAAUGGGGUUUAAUUUUUAUUUAUUUUAUAAACUAGUAUUUAGGACACGCACUGACAUGAAAAAGAUAUAUGAUCUAUAAUAUCUCGCCAUUAUACAACUUCUAAAGUAGUAUAUGAACAAAUUCUCUCUUUCUCUCUCGUGAUGGGAUUCAUCUAGUGAUGCUUUGAUAAAACCAUAAACAUAAAAAAGAUUCAGCAGUCGGUACAGAGAAAUAAAUCAAAAAAAGAAUUCUUUCCCAAAGAUUCUUGCACACCUUAAAUUGGGCGUGGGGGUUGCCAAGUCGUUGCAGCAGCUGCUUCAUCCUCCCAAGAUCCAAAUCAUCAUCAGUAUCCGUUCCAGUCCCUUUAAGCACACCCAAUCGCUCAUAAUUCUUGAGCUUCUCCAUGUAAUCCAAGAAAUCGCCGAGCUCCGGAUCCUCCGACAUUGCCGACCGCAUCGUCGAUCGCAAGAAUCUCGCAACCAAUCAAGAAACUUCAGUCCCACUAUCAGAUGGAAACACGGGAAAAUCAAUCCGGCAAGGCAUUGCCUCUCUAUUUUCACCGCAUCAAAACUAAUCACGAAGUUAUUAUCGAAAUCAAAAGAAACCAAAAGUGGCUGUCCCGAUCAAGAACUCGAAUAGCGGGUUUCUUGGAUAAUUUAGAAAUUUGAAUGGCAUCCGAUGGAGACAAUAAAACUCUAGAAGAGACGGGUAAAACAACGAUAUCCAAUAAAAAAAAUUUUAUCGAAAAGAAAAAGAAUAGAAAUUGGGCAUCGAAUGGAAGAAAGAAAGACAAAUACGCGCAAACCUCUUCAUCUCCACAACGACUGCUCUCUUACUCCAUCAUGGAACGCCUUAUCGCCUCUCAAUUCAGAAACGGAAGAAGAUCAAAGAUGAGCGAGAGUGGGUUGCAAUGAAGGGGCUCUAGCGGGCCUCUCAUGGGAAUCAAGAUUGCUUUCAUAACAAAUGCGGGUUUUAAAUUGACGCGACCCGCUAAUGAUCUUGGGUGAUGGGCCCGAUCAACCUGCCGGGCUUGCGAAACGCCAAUCGAUCCAAGAACCAAGAGCGGGCUGUUAAUCUAAGGAUUGAGGAAUCAGGAGAGUAUUAACCGAAACUGGGCCAAGUAGCGUAUCCUUCAAGCAUCCAGCUGGCUUCGCGUGGUGUGCGUAUGCGUGUUGACCAAUCUAUGGGCCGUCUUGGGUCGUGCAAGCACCGGUCCAAUAGUUAAACAACGACCCACCUACGGUCGGUUGGAGACAAAAUUUGGACCUUCGGAUCGGGCCUGCUUGACAUGCUGGGCUUAGGUUAUACCGCUAUAGUUGACUGAAAAGCCCAAUAUAUACCCCCUUUUUUUGGUUAAGGCAGUUAAAGACAUAUCCAUCUAGUAUAAGUAUAUCCAACACAAUCAGAGAUAGAAUGUCCCAAAAAUGAACCCAGGAUCCUCCUAUGUGAUGCAUCCAAAGUAAUCAGCUAUGUAAAAUGCCAUCUAAUCGGUAGCAAUAUUCAUCUCUUUAUAUACGUGGGUGGCCUAGAUGGAGCUGCAGUUACUAACUAUCCUUUAAACAGUGAACACCAAUGGAUUGGUGCUGCCCUGAUAUCCACCAAAUCAUCAUCGCUCAGUCUCCCUCUAAAAUAAUAUAGCUCACUCGUAAGAUAAGCCGUGCAUUCCUUAUGUUUUUCCAUGCCGCUCUUAGUUUUACUUUAGAAUAGAAAUAUCAAAAAUUUGACACCACCUGUAACUACGAAGCCGGAAUCCUGUCUUCUGAUCAUAAAUCAGGAUCGACCUCUCCUACCUCCAUCUACUACGCUACUGCCGAAAUUUAUCUUGAGAAAAGCCAUCCGAAGGCGAACAGUAAACAUAGAAAUUUUCUUAUAUAAAAAUGGGAAAAAGAAAAAGGAGGGAAGACCAUGAACUUCUCCUAGCAUGUUAGGAUGGCCGCUUCAGUUAACCGCGAAUAAACUGCCCAAACGAAAGGGAAAGUAGCUACCAGCUUUGACUUGGGAAGCCCAUGCCAAAGGUUUGAGACCAAUCAGCCAUCCAAACAUGGAGCUCCCCCUCGGAUUUCUUCUCAAAUGUGGUUGUCAACAUUCCCAUUUUAUUAAAAUUUUAUGAUCUAAAGUUUCCCUAAUAGGUAAAGACCUCUCCUACCAUGACCGUCUACUUCUCAUCAACAACCAUUGGUGGAAUAUUCUUGCAGUUCCUUAAUGAUGCAAUGCCUUCUUUUCCCCGAAUCACCCGGCAAGAUAUGCACCAGAACGACCAGACCUCCGCUUAGCAUGAUUAUGUGAGAAGAGGCCUUCAGGUAAAAGUCAAGAUGCAACCAAACUUUGCCAAUGCAAUAACAUUCAGGAGAUUUCAUUAGGUGCAAGUGGAUUGUUCAUAGAAUGAAGAUAGCAUUCGUAAAAAAGAGCCAAAGGUGACUUAUUUGUACAUAGAUUACUUGAAUAUACAUCACAUGCAAAGAGUCCUAUAGUCUAGGGAAACAUUAUUUACACUAUGUAAGAAAGCUUUUUUCACCAAAUAUCAAGUGUAGCUACCUUGGGGAGUAGGAUUACCAAAGUGACAGCGAAACCAAUUUAUUGGAUAAAAAAUUCUGAUAAGGAUACUUUUGUUUUAGAAUAACAUUAUUUGAGCAUUCCAAACAUUGCCUUAUAAGAGUGCAGUUCAUUUUCAGUUGUUAUAGUUCAAGGUGGCCUGCUACAUGGUUAGCUAUUCGCUCUACAUGGAUGGGGGCACCACCCUGAUCCCGUAUCAUUUGUCUUGCUAUCUCACUUGCCAUAGAAGAUAACCUCAAUGUGCAUUCUUCUAAGUAUCUUACGAAGUUGCAACUGAAAAAGAUUCGAUGGCUAGUCGAACCUUCAAUUUGUUUGCUGUUGAUGAAUUGAGAACUAUUGAAUACUACUAAAGCAACAAAAAAAAUCACAUAAAAAAAAGUUAAUAUGAUUGAUAUGUAACCUUUUGAUAAUCCAACAACCAAGUGCUUGUAUUUAGUACCAUACAGUGAUUUUGUAAAUAGAUCAACCAAAAAACUACAUAUCUAGUAAGAACUUCUUUGCAUGAGAUUUCUGUAUUUCCCCGGAGGCUCAAGCCAAAUUAACGGGAAAAGGCCGUGUUUCGAUUAUGCAGCGGGCCACGUAAGUGGUCCUAGCUGUGUUCAAACCAUAGGCUUUGAUCCAUGUCUCAUGCAAAUAAAGUCUCAUUUGGUUAGUGGGGAGGGGAGAAAGAAAAAUAUAGUGAACAAAAAAUUGAGGAAUGCUUUAUAUUUAGUUAGAGUUUUCAAAUAAGAAAGAUAGAAAAGUAGCUUUUCCAUAAUAAUAAGAUUCUUAUAUUUUAUGAAAAAGAAAAAUCUAUAUAGACAUGAAAAGAUCCAAUUUUCACUAGCUGAAAAUUAAAAAAAAAUUUCCUAGAAGUGCCUUCAAGCUUUUAGAUAGAAUGAGGUAAACUAUUUUUCUUUAUCAAGUGCAUAACAAGUAUUUUAUAUAACUUUUCUAGAAAAGUAGAUGCUCGGCCAAAUAUAAACCAAUCUGUAAUGUGAUACAUUUUUAUGGUCAACCAAACAUACAAAAACUAAUCAAACACACAAAAACUACUUUUUUAGACAUCAUAAACCCAAGCACCAGUUUUUCAGAACCAAAUGAGUCAUACUUAUUUUCCAUUGGAUGGAUGUAGAUAAAAACAAGCCAAACUCAUUACUAUUUAUAGAUGAAAUAAGCCAAAAGUCUAUUAUUGUUUGAAUUCUUCCAAAUAGUAAGCGACAAGGCAUCCUAUUUUUUAUUUAGAAAGAGACAAGACUCAUUUUGAGAUUGAAUAUUUGUAUGAGAUUGAAUCUUCUUCCGUCUAAAUUAAUUUUCUACCCCUGAUUGGACUGCUAUUUAAUGAUUAGGGCCUAAAUAUUACUUUACACCAUAUUCAGAUCAAUGAUUGCAAUCUAAAUAUUGAUUAAUAGCAGAUAUUGGAAGGUUAGCCGGUAUAGAUAGUAAUAAGUCUUUAAAAAGAAUAUUUUAUGCAAGCCAAAUAAAAGAUUUUAAAAGGAUGCUAAUCUUCAAUUAAGUACCAAGUUGUAGAUUAAGAAUUUGGUCAAGAGGCUGAAGUGCUCGAUUAAUAAACCAAAAUUAUAGUCAGCCAGUAGGCCAAGUUGUCCUUGAUACUUAGUCAUUAAACCAAGUACUCGGCUAGUAGGCCUAAGCAUACAACUACCAGGUUGAAUACUAUUAGAAGAAUACCAAUCUUGGACCUAGUACUAGAGAAGUAGGUAAAAACACCUUGUAUAGACCAAAACACUAAGGGUACAAGUCGAAGUAUUAGAGUGUAGGUCAAAAAAGUAUUAAGGGUGGAGGUCAAAAGACCAAGGAUGCAGGCUAAAACAUCAAGAGCUAUCUAUCUAGAAUGAGGUUUUUAGUGGAAUGCAACCCAAAGAGAGUGGCUGAUCGGUAGUUACCACUCCCUAAAAUAUUGGAGAAGAGGUAACACUAUGUAGAAUAUAGGAAUAGUUGAUGGAAGAUAACUACCAUGUAUGGUACAUAACAGUGGCCCAUAUGAUGCAAACUAGUAAUGAUGAGUGUCAAAAUUAGAUAGUAAUAUUUAUCCUAACAAUUAAUAGGAGCUACUUAAGUAUCAAGCUAUAGCUAUGGAAGGAAGAGCAUCAACAAAUAUUUUUCCUCUUUAUCUUUUUAUUAUCUUUUUAUUAGUUUCUAGUCGUCAAUAGCUUUGGUAGCAUUUUGAUAGUUGAAGUUCUUGAAGUUCAAUAUAAUCUAACCUAUCUACUGCCCUUCUUUGUUUUGAUAAUCAUGGGUGGCAUGCAUGCAAUUAUCCAAUUCAAUAAUGGACAUGUUCUUCUUUCCAUCCCAUCUCGAGAGAAAGGAAACAGUUUUUCUUAAAAAAAGUUUUUGGUUCAAUCUAUAUACGGUUUGUGAUGCUUAUCCUUUUUCUCCGCAAAAGAAAGCUAAUGCUUUUUCUUGUUUUAAACAUAGGUUGGGGAAAUGUUAAAUUGAACUUGGAAUUAGAGACUAGAUGAGAACUUUUUGUCAGAAGGUCUUGAUAUGGACAUAUGUUUAAUCUUAUAUCGGUUAUUUAUUGAGUAUAUUUUGGGUACUUAUACCAGAUCAAGAAACCCAAAUAAUAUUUUGCGGUUAAUAUUUUUGGGUAAGGUCCUUGAUUGUUACAAAGAAUAUUAAAAUGAACUGGCCCAUGACCUAUGUGGACCAAAAAAUGAUGCACUAUGAGUAUAUUUGAGCUGAUCGUGGUAUUUGUGAUUGGAUUGGAAUGGAUUUGGAUUCUUAACUUGUCGAUGACACUAGGGCUUAAACGGGAGAAGUAUGCGAGGAUCCAUAUAGGCAUGUGUUUAGUUCCAUCUUGGUUAUUUGUUAGAUAGAUCUUGCGUAUUUAUAUAGAAUCAAAAAAUUCAAAUAAUACCAUUCGGUUAACCUUUUUUGGUUGAGGCCUUGCGUUAUAUACCAUGAUUAAUUUAACUCGCUCUAACUGGCAAACAACUUACCAUUGAUAAAGCUCUCGAAGUCAGAGCUGCUUGGGAGGAGGGAGUUUGUUUAGCCAGUACGGUGCUCCCAAGUACCAAUCAUGGGUUGACCAUAAUCUCAUCUCGCCCGAGCCCUCAUUCUCCUACCCAUAAUAUAUUGCUUCGUGAUAUUUGGGCUAGCUGCGGCAAUCUUUUCACACUUCCAUGCUUCCUAUGCUCUCUGUGGGGGAAAUCAAUUGGUGGGUUGGUUGGCUCCUGCAGCAUCUCAGGCGACCAGGAUUUUGUUGGUCACGCUCAAUGCCUCUACAAGCUGAUGAACUUGAUAGUUGCUGAUUGCCACGGCUGUCUUUCUAUCAGAAGUUAAUUUGUUUCUUUGCUCCUUCCUUGCGUACCUUGUUAAGGUUUGACCACCUCCCUCUUACAGCAGCUAGCUGCACCAUAUAUAUGUGAUGCUUUAAUUAUUCAUUCCCCAAUCCUCUCUAGCAUACUCAACACUAACUAAUCCUCGAUGAAGAACGUUCAUUAAAGAUUAGUGACAGUCUUCAUUGAAGGCUAUCUCUUCAACCACUCAGCAUAUUGUGUCCAUAUAUCAAAUGCACCACAAGAACAAGAACUCGAGAAAGUUGCCAAUUCUUCCUCUCAUUUCUUAUAUGACAGUAUAACAAUGGGGAAAGUUGAGGAACACUGCACUACUUGCAAGCUCAAGAUACAAAGGAAAAACUAAACAAGAGAUGCAGCAGCCUUAUUACAGGAUAAAUACAUGGCAAAAUUGCUAUCAGCCAUAUGCAGUGCUAAAAUAGCUCUUCAUAGUAUUGCUGCACAGGAUCUGCAGGACCUCGCUGUUAGAUGUUCCCACGCAGCGCGGUGUCUUGAACUGGCUCACUGCAGCCCCAAGGCACAGGUAGUGGUCCAGAAUCUUCUGGAAGGUUCCUCUUUCCACGACUCGUAGCUCGAGCGGUCCAAUGGCCUGUGCCUUCCUUGAACUAAUGUAGCCAGCGUCGACAAAGGAUCGGUCCAAGCGGUCACAGCAGCUGUGCAGCACAUCGUCGCUGCAGGCGUCGGCAUUCAACUCCCAGAAGAUCACGUAGCGACCAGGGUCUGCCGACAUGUCAGCAUGGCUUGUGAAGUCCACCAGCUCGAGCUUCUCUUCUGCUAAGAGCUCAGUGGCUUCUUCAACUGCUGAUUGGAGGUCCUUCUCAGUGUUUUUAUCAAUGUUGACUGUAAGAAGUAGGCCUCUCCGGCACACAAACUUAAGCUUUGGAGUGGAGUUGUGGAAGCCUGCUACUUUCACGACAUCGCCGAGCCUGUACCGGUAUAAACCUGCCAUUUCCACAAGAACCAUGCAUCUGAAAGAUAAUGGCUGAACAUGUCCACAGCAAGAAAUGAUUCAAGGAGGAUUGUCAAUGUGCUAAGUCUUGGCUAGCCCAUUAUUGAUAAGCUUUCUAGAGCAAGUGAGAUUAAAUACUUCAUUCAUGGUCAAAAUGUAGGGCAAGAAAAAGAAGAAGAAAUUACAGGAUGGCUGGAAGAGGAGGAGGGAUUUUCAAAUGAUCUUAUUGCCACAUAUUUGAAGAAAUUUAUCAACACUACAACAAUGUUUCGGUGGCAUGAGGUAUUUAUGCCACAUUAUUGUAAAAUAUUGCGGGCUGUACGAAUUCAAUUCAAGGCAGCAAGACCACAAUUUAGAACUCUGGAGUAACCGAGGAAAUUGUGUGAAACCAUCUCGACUAACACCAACCCUCUGGUUGUGUCCAUGGUUGUCCUAGUGAAAGACGACCAUCUCUUUUGACAGCAGGCCUACUCAGAUGAUUUUUAUUAUUAUAAUAACUAAGCAUGCCCAGUAUUUUAAAUUCAUAUGAUAAAAUAAUGCAAAAUGCGUAUUUGCAUGUGGUUGGUUCUAGUUUCAACUUAGCGUUGCAUAAUUGAUAUUUAUAUUUACAUUAAACAAGUUUAUAAAUGCAGCAAAACCAAGGUACAACAGGUUUUUAUGACAUAAACUUGCUAGUUGUAGCAUUUCAAUGCAAGGAAAACGUAACUUUAUGCAAUUUAGAAUCAUAACAAGGAUAAUUAAAAUGAUAGAAGGAUGCUAGCUAGAUUAGUUAGCCAAUAAACUCACAACAUAUAAUGAAAACACUCACUAACCGACCAUCGUCAAAACAAAUAUAACUUGUCUUUAUUCUAUCAAACCUGCUCCAUACCUAACACAACAUAAACCACGGUCUUAAUAACUUAAUUGACUUGCCAAACACGUCGCUCCAGACUUAAAAAAAACCCAAAAAAGGCUAGAUGACAUGUGGCAAGUUGACUGACCACUAAAAGAUCACCAUCAUAAUCUUUCUAGCACGCAGAAUUGUUUUACCAUGAUAGUUGCAGGCUUGUAGCCUAAUUUAUAAAAAUCUAUUCAAUAGAUCGGCCAAAAAAUCAAGAGUAAACUAUCCACUUCAAUAAACUAAUUCCUUCAAAGUUUAUCAAUUAUCACAUUAGUGAUUAGAAAGUUACAUGCUCUACAUCCAAGCCGGAGAAUGUGGCUCGGUGAGCUGGUAGUCCUGUCCACUCCUAAACCAGAAUAAGACUUACCUCUUUCUGGUCUCAACUUUAUGUGAUUUAAUCUACCUUGUUCAGAUCAACUUCGCAUAUAUUUGAUACUCGUUCUUGAUAACAAAGUCAAUAAUUUCACUAGGGCUAUUGAACAUUUUGCUUUUGACAAUAUCUACUUAAAAGCCCUGGCUCUUAUCUGAGAACCAAAGCCACACCUAUCUUAAUCUCAUGCUCAAUUAAGUAGUAAAUUAACAGAUUUUUUUGAGCAAAGUAAAUCAACAGAAUAAUAUUAUAUUAUGUAGUAUGCAUUUGUAUGCCUCUAUCCGACUUACUUGGUUGACAUGUUUGAUGCAUCUCAUUAUGGGUGCGUCAAACAAGAAGCUACCUUCUAGAAAUAACGUACCAUGCUCCGCCACCAACAACUACAGCAAUCUAUGGUUUAGAUGACCAAAUUGACCCAAAAAUUAAAGAACCAACUUUCAAAAUAAAGCCUUGUUUUCCUUGCAGUAGUUAAGAAAGGCUUCCAGCCACUUUCUUUCUCGCGGAAAAGGCUCUUCCUAUUUUAGCAAAAAAAAAAAAGGCUCUUCCUAUCACCUUUUUCUCCCUCGUAGUUCACACUACGAAGUGCCUCUGCAGUUGAACAGAGACGGCAAAAACAGGUCCCAAGAAAGAGGUGAGGCCUUGCGAAAGAAGCAGUCAAUAGUCAAUAAGCGCAACUAUAAAAGUCUAUCAUGCUUAGUUCAAGAGGAGAAAUAAAGAAACCAGCAACUGCAUGCUUUCCCAAGCAAAUGAUAGAAUUUAGAAAACUGAAGGGCCACUUUUAGGAAAAUUAAAAAGAUAGUAAAGCUCCAGCAUCUCUGGAUUUUUUUUUUUUUUUUGAUGCAAUCUGCAUCUCUGUUGUUAUGCUGAAGUCGGUAAAUCAAUUUCAGAUUAGAUAACAACACACGCAACAUUGUGAAUUUAUGGUGCCAUAUUAUCUGUCAAAGUUGUGCGUUAAUUUCAUUAUCUUAUACUGCACCUAAAAGUGUGGAAAAAGAAGACGCUGGAGGGGCGCGCACACACACACAUAUAUAUAUAUCAAGCAAGCAUUGUACCUGCGAAAUUUGUGAUGAUGAUUUCAUACUCUUCACCAACCUUGACUUCUGUGAGACCCACUGGCUCUGAUUCUGUAUAGUGGAUAGUUGGAGCACUUCUCUCCAACUCCUGCUCCCUUGGCUUCUCCCUGAGAGGAAUAAAUUCAAAAUAGCCAAUAUCAGGGAGAACAGCAAAGGUUGCAGAUUCAGGAGGCAGUCCAGGGUCGGCAUUAGCGCCUAUCCACCCUUCAGAAGAUCCAUAUUCAGCACUGAUCAAUGGUAGAUUUCCUGCAUAAUGUCUUAAUUUCUUCAAGUAAGGCUCCAUGGAUCCUGUCAUGAUCCCAUACACAUAUUUGGCAUUUGGCCAAAGCUCUGGAAUCACACCAUACCAGUUACUUAGACCCACGCAUUUCUCGUAUAUCGAAUCAGCCAGAUCAGGAUUGGGGCUUAAGAGUCCAGAAACUGAUUCACGGAUAGAUGGAACAGUAAUCCUGCUGGAGAGAACUCCCUCCCUGACGUCUGCACAAAGCUCUUCCCAGACCUGCUCGAAUGUACGGAAUGCAUGAACGAUGCUGUGGGCGAAGGUGGAAGAAAUGAACUGGACUUCAUCUGAGUAGAUUAGCCCGCAUAAAAGGUGGCAGUACAAGGACUGGUGGAAGUCGGGACCAAAUAUAACUGCAUCAGGGCUGCAACAUUGUGACUGGAUAUCGUUCAUGGUGGAUUUGAAUUGUUCACUGCGAUAUACAUUUGUAGUGGCCGUUGUAGCGAUGAGACCCCCUUUCGUUUUGAACUGUUUGCUGCUAUAGAUGAAUUGUAGAGCUUUUCCAUUCCGAAUGGGAAACUCUCUUCAAGAUUCAGAGCAUCUCAUUGUUAGUCGCACAACACCAUGAAGCUAAAUGAAGGUUAGCGUCACAAAUGCAAGGCCUUGGUUUGAGUAGAAUUGCUAGUUCCCAUAUCAGGAAAAAGCAAGGAAGGGAUCAGCCUCCCUAAUUUUACACAAUAUACAUGCAUCUGAAAUUUUGUUUGCGAGUUGUCCCAGGAGGAAUUCCAGGGUUCAAAUCCUGAGUAUUGCCCAUAAAAAUAUAUAUAUAUGUAUUGAAAAAUAGCAAGAGAAAGUGCUUCUCAGGAAUUGACUUGCAAUUUCAUUCUAAAACUCCGAGAAUGCAUGCUUGGCUUGGUUUGGUUACUGGAAAACUGAGGGAAUAAAAAAAAAAUCAAUAUUGAAUUUAAACUUGGGUUUCCUGUCCCUCGUUUUCACAGCAUUCAAAAAUCCAAUUAUACAGAAGAGAACAUAGAUCAAUAGCCAUUGGUAUACCAGAAAACUAGAGAAGAGUAACCGAAAGGACCACUGAAUGUGGACAUCCAAACUUAGUUUCAUCCAGGUAUAAAACAUGGGACUGGGAAGCAUGUUAAAGGUCUUGAUAAACUGAAAAGAAAUUGUUUUCAGCAUGGAAAGGAUAAAAGUGUCUAAACGUAAGUCGCAAAAACUAGGAUUAAUAAAGGCAUCUAGCAGAAAAAAAACCAACACAUAGGUGGGGCAAAAAAAGAAAAAAUCAUUUUGCAACAACAAUUACACAUAAAAUCAACAUGAUGCUUGCUUUCGAAGACAUGCCCAUGAAUGGAACUCUAAACUGAAGGAAUAUGAGAACUUCCAAUUACACAGUCGAGCCCUCAGUUUGGUAUCGAAAAUAGCAAGACCCAUGAUACUUCCAUAAUAAAACAGUUACAGGAAAUAAAUAGAAAUGGCAGCUGAAAAGAUAAAAUAUGUAUUUUGAAAGAACAUUGCAUUAGAAUAGCCGAUGUAAAUACCCUUAUAUCCUUAAGGACAGACAGAUGCUUCAUAACAAUGUAAUGAAUGAAGUAAACUACAACCCAUGUUCAAGAAGAUUAACUCGGUACCUGUUUCUGAAAGCAAAUGAUAACCGAUAUAUCUGCAUUGUGGAAUAGACCAAUUCCUCAUUGAACAGCAGAAGUUUGGGCUUUCCUUGUGUAGUGCCAGAACUAUAGUGAGGGAAAAUAGGGGGGUUAAAAAGACUAAGAAACAUUAGCAUGCCAAGCAUACAUCUUAUAGGGAGUAGGCCAAAGGAAGUAUCCAAAAGGUACCUCAAUGAUAUAGAUGUUACCGGCUUUCCUGUGAGAAUGGGUGAAGCAUCUCCAUCAGCAAUUCUCUGGAUGUAAGGUUCGAGAUCUUUGUGAGUAACCAAUGGAACACAGGCUUUAAAAGUCUCAGGAUCAGUUCUCCCUCCAAGACCCAGAUUUUGCAAGUACUCUGCCUCGCCAUUCUCCUCGAGAAUCCUUCGAAGGGUCUCUCUCUGAACCCUCCCAGCAUCCUUUGUCAAGGCUUCAAAUUCCUCAAUCACACCAUCAAUAUUGAAUUCCCUAUUCUUCUCCGGCAUCCUAAAGCUUAUGGAUUACCGUACCAGAAGUUACACCCAGCCGAAGCUAGACCUUUAAAAUCCUGUGAAGGAAAAGGGAAGACUUCAAUCGAUGAGCAUAGCCAAAUAUAAAAAUAACUGUAACUGACAUCACCAAUAAACUACCGGGUGGGUCACACCUCCCGCUUUCAUCAUCAAAAAAGAAAAAAACAAAACUGUAGUUGGCGUGAAGAUACUGACAAAGGCAUCAUAGAGGGAAAAAAAGAGGUGAUUUUCUAAGUUUUACAAGAAGCAUUUCAUCAAAAAUUUUUACAGGAAGCAUUAUAGUUAAAGAAAGUAAUGGGUCGGACAGAAAAAGGUAGAAACACCAUAAAAUAAGGCUGAAGUCAUCCUAAUCAAGUCAAAUAUGAAUAAAAUUCAAAAAUAAAAUGAAAAAAGCAGCAAGAGGUGUCUACUUAGAAAAUGAGAACAAAAUCGGAGAGAAAAGUAGAGCGUUGUAAGUCCUCACUGAGGAUCCAAGACCCAAAGAAAACUUUAUACUACAAAGAAGAAAAAUACGUCGUAGAUCUUUUGAAGUGUGAGCAAGUGGAUGGCAGAAUCGGAACAGACAGGAAGGGAGGAAAAGAAAACAGAAUUAUGGGUGCAAAUCUGCAAAAUUCUGCUACGAUACGAGAUUCCACCAAAAAUCAUCAAACAGAAACGGAGAGCUGCGAAUCGUUAAACAGAAACCACAUCGUCCCUCAAUGAGAGAACAAAUUCACUAGAAGAAAAUAUUGCUACCCAGAUCAACAGAGAAACAAAGCAUGCACUUUUUUGUUUUGAUGUAAAAAGGAUGUAAUCUUUGACACAGCAACCACGACGUCUUUUAAAGAAAGAAAGAAAGAAUCUACUCGUGAAAGAUGUAAUCUUUUACACAGCAACCACGACGUCUUUUAAAGAAAGAAAUAAAGAAUCUACUCGUGAAAGAUGUAAUCUUUUACACAGCAACCACGACGGCUUUUAAAGAAAGAAACAAAGAAUCUACUCGUGAAAAUAAUGAUAUGAUUCGAAAUCCUUGAAAAGAAAAACGAUGAGAAAAGUUUGUCUCUUGUGAAUGCUUAGUACGAAGCGAACAGGAAUCGAGCCGUCCGCUCCAUCUUGACUGCGAGCAAUCCGAGGCACCGAGAGGUGCGCUCCGUGAGCUGAGCUCUCUCAGGUCGUACUCGUAUUAUCCGGAUUGGAGUCGGGGAGGAGCAACAGGGACCUCUCGAUUCUAUGCCGGCUUCCUUCCAAAAGGAGUCGAAACAGAGAACAAGACAAGGAGCAGCAUCUACUGUUUGUUCGCGUGGGACUGGAACUCGGAACUCAACACACGCACGCAGAGAGAGAGCGAGCGAGCGAGCUUGCUUCUCCGAUUUGGUGAAGGAUUUCUGUGUUUUGGGGGAAGAUUUGAGGAGGGAAGCGCCAAUAUAUGGCCGCGGGACGGAGAUCCGUGACGGCCGUUAACCUUCAUCCGGAAAUGCCUCUGCUCAUUACUAGAAUUGCGAGAAUACCAUUGUUCAGUUGGGGGCAAUUGAGGUGUCGGGCGACGUGGACGUUUUUUUAAUCGCCGGUUGGAAAUCAUGGAUACCAGCCCCCGUUCGCGGUGGGAUAGUUACCGGAUAGCGUUAUCCCCACCAGGGAUAGCGUGAGCCGGAAUAUGCAGCUUUUCUUUCCGUUGGAGUUGGAUUCUCCUCUUCCGGCAAUAAAGACGCUGCACAUCCGAGUAGACUGACCCAGAUAUGGGGUGUUGUGGUUCAAAUUUGGCCCUGAGGGUGACCACGCCGGUGGAGCCGAGGGAGCCGCCGGUGCUGAAAAGGGAAAGAUGGAAGCCACCUCCUGCGCGACGGCCGCGAACUUGCACAAAGCCUCACCGAUGUUCUCGGUGAGGACCCUCCGACGGUUAAGUUAGAGUGGGUAAAUUUGGUCUAGCCAAAGAUUCCUUAGAAAUUACCUGACCGAGCUAUUUAUAGCCUCAGUGGAGUGGCCCAGGUGGCGGAGGUACUGUUAGCCCUCAUCAUGAGGGGACGUGGCUCUGAGCCGGACGGCGCGCAGCUCAGGCUGGCUGGUGGCGUGCGGUACAGCCCGUUCUUGAAAAUAGUAGGAUGUUGAUAGUCACAGCAGGGUAUGGCCGGAGUAGUCAAGGUACCGUCUGACUGCUGUUAAUCGGUUAUGGUGACAUGACACGGUAGUAUGGUGAAGUACGGCCAUGUAGGUGGGCGUAGGCCCGCACAUGGGUGUGGUCAUUGGCGAGGCCGAGCUCGUUAAGUAGUCGCGUCAUGCGUUUGACGAGGUCGGCUUGGCGCGUGCUAGGAUCGUAGCUCGACUUCCCGGAUUCCGAGAUGUGCUCGGUGGAGCGCCCCGAGCUCGAGAGUUGGAGCGUAUUGCUGGGGUUGGCGCCCUGAGCUUAGUCGGGGCGGGUCGGCAAUUGUCUGGAGGUACCCCAAAUUUGGUCGGGGGAGUCGGCGAAUGUCCGGAGUUGGUGGAAUUUUCGGCGGAGUUCCAAGGACGAGCUGGCCCUGGACCGAAAUGAAGAUUCAGCCGAUUGUCGUUGAUGUUUACCGGACCGAAACUGGACGGCCUUUUAGUUGUGGGCUGGACGAUCCAUUUUUCUUUCUAUCAUAGGGAUAUUGUAAUUUGUGAUUGGCCAUUGAUGAGAGAUGAAUGUAAUUAUAUUCUUAUUUAAUUUAUGCAAUAAUAAACAAUAAAUUAUCGAGAAUUAUUAAAUAAUAAAUUAUUUAAUAUUUGAGAGCUAGCUUUCUGUGGGAUUUAUACUCAGGUUACCUUAUCGAAUGGUUAGUUUCAAAUGAUUUGAAAAGGAGGUUAUGUUGGCCCUUUAGUUUCAGAUCAAACCACGCAAGGGAAUGAAUAGUUUCGAUAGCACGAGGGAAUAGGAGUUUCUGUUUGGCUAAGAUAAAAUAUGCCAUUUGACGGAGUUGUGUAAAGGCUGCAAUGAUUGGGAUCUACCCAAUUUUCUCCAAGAAAAGUUUAACAUCGAACUUGCCAAUUAUGAUACGUAUGAGGCUAGACAUGUGAAUAAGGAUACUAGUUUGCAGGAUAUCUAUAUAGGUUUGGGUGUUGUUUUUUUUUCGUUAUAAUCCCAGCUUUAUUUUUCCAACUAUUAAGGAGUUAGAUAGAAAGCGACUAUAUUUAAUGCUGGGUGUGAUGAUUACAAAAGAAGGUUGUGGGUGCUAGUCAGCAUUAACGUCUUUCCACAGCUACUAAAUGAUCAGACUCUCACUCAAACAAGGAUUAGUUGUCUAUGGAGGGAAAAAAAAAAGGUUUUUUUAAGAAAAAAGAACUCCGACGAACAAAUGUCGAAUGUAUUUUCUGAAAACAGAGAAAUUUAUACAUGAAUUUUAUUUUUCAGACAAGCAUUUCUAAACAUUUGCGAAGAGUCCUCUCUAGGGAUUCUUAGUGGAGGAAGGGAAACAAAGUAGUAGGAGUCAAUGGAAGUUGACGUACACUUCUCUCAUUUUUUAGAUUUUCAAGAUAUAGCGUACUUGAAAGGAAGUCUUUAGAGUUUUGAUAAUGUAGGAUUUAUGGACUUCAUAAGCACUUUAAUUUUAUGGAGGUGUCGGAUUUGUGAUUAGAAAUUUUUUUGGCACACUGGUAGCAGCUGACAGUCGUCGUACGCCAGAAUUUACCGUUAUUAGGGUAGAGCUCCGGGCAGCGUGGGAAGGCUUAUCUUAUACGAGGCAGGUACUUGGUGCUGAGCGGAUGCAUCUGGAGGGAGAUUCAUCAGUGGUGAUCAACUGGAUACGGGAAGCAAACAGGUAUGACGAUGGUCAUCCUCUCAUCCGCGAGAUCCAUAGACUGGCUCGGGAGAUGGACGAUUUUCAGAUAGCAUGUAACAAACCAGGACCUCACCCAAAAUGGCUAGCCGGAAGGUAUUAUUUGGGUUCCUUGAUCCUGUAGAAGUACCUAAGAUCUAUCCAGCGAAUAACCNNNNNNNNNNNNNNNNNNNNNNNNNNNNNNNNNNNNNNNNNNNNNNNNNNNNNNNNNNNNNNNNNNNNNNNNNNNNNNNNNNNNNNNNNNNNNNNNNNNNNNNNNNNNNNNNNNNNNNNNNNNNNNNNNNNNNNNNNNNNNNNNNNNNNNNNNNNNNNNNNNNNNNNNNNNNNNNNNNNNCCCAAUGGAUCUGUGCUGCAGUGUCCCCUAGUCCACAUAAGUUAUGGGCCGGGUCUGCCCUGAUACCAUUUGUAACAACCCAGGACCUCAUCCAAAAUGGCUAGCCGAAAGGUAUUAUUUGAGUUUCUUGAUCCUGUAUAAGUAUCCAAGAUCUAUCCAGCGAAUAACCAAUGUGGGGGUAAACACACGUCCGCACGGAUCCUCACAUAGUACAUAUGUUUAGAGAGGCGAACCGGCCUGCAGACUGGGUCGCCUUCUUUAUUGCCCGGCAUGCUGGGGAGGUCCUUUGGACUUUAGCAGUAGACGCUCAUCUCUUCUCUAUGUUCUUUACUUUCUCGUAAUUUGGCAGGAUGUACUCACAUUAGAGCUUUAUAAAUUGCCGUCUUCACCACAAAAAAAAAACAAAAAGGGUGAUGGCAGACCUUAUUAUCUCCCCCUCCCUCCUACCCCCCCCCCCCCCCUUCUCUCACACAGGCAACAUUAAAGGUAUUUUCAAUAUUUUGCAAAAACAAUGAAAGUAUUAUUAAUGUCAAACAUUUGAAAGCACCUUCUUUCAUUCAAACAUGCAGGUGGUGGAAUUGCAUACAUAUAUAUAUAAGCUAAUCGGCAGUCCAGGCAUGUCUUAGAUUUGAUAUGAUGUGCAGUGUUCUAAGUAUCAUGUUGAAAUAUUUAACAGUAGUGCUAAAGUGAAAUAUAGACUUUAGCUGCAAUCUUCGCAAUAGGAAUAAAAAAAAAUACUUUUACUAUUGGAAUAUUGCAAUGGUUACAAAAAUUUUUAAAAAAUUCAUAUUGGUAUUUUGAUGGAUAAACACCCAUUCUAACUUUUGGUAUCGAUACAAAAAAAACUAUAGACUAUAGUCUUCAUGCACCUUGUUGAAAGCAACUUUAUUUGUCGUGCAUCUAUUUUUUUGAUAAAUAUUUGUCAUGCAGCUAAUUAGUUUGAAUGUUACAGGCCUUGUUUUUGAAUACAUAUUUGUCAUGUAGAUAACAAGUUUGAAUUUUACGAGGCCAAUGUAGCAACAGUCUUAGUUGGCGUUUAUCACAAGCUGUAAUAUUAGUGGAAGUGAGGUCGUGAUGAAUGGAGCCAAGGGCCAAAGCUCUUUGAAUUGCAUCACUUUAGAGGCCAUGUUUCACAUUUGUUUGUAUCGAUCAUACUCCGCUGGAUACGGCUAAUAAUCCCAGCCCGUCAUCAAAUACCGAUACUCUUUCAUUUUAUUUUUAUUAGAUAGAAUAAUAGAUUCUUUGGACCGUACAAUCAUUUUUAUGAGAAAUUUUGAAGGAAUAAAUAAAAUUUUAAAAUAUUAUUUUAUUCAAAGGGAAGUACAAGUGAAAGUGGUAGCCGUUAUCUAUCCUAUCCUAGCAGGCGUAAUUUUUUUCAAUACAAUGUUCAAAAUAUUCAUUUUUAUGAAAAAUAAAAAAAAUCUUUUCUUCAUUGUUAUUUCCAAUUGUAGAGAGAAACAGUGAUAGUUGCUCCCACUAUUCUUUUAAAUCCAUCGAUACAAUUUUUAGAGGCUUUGAGAUUUUGAGAUAGAGCUGAAAUCAGAUUGGAUAUGGAUUGGAUACUACCAUGUCCAUAUAUAUUUUACUUGAAUAUAAAUACAGGUGAGGAUGUUAGUCGGAUGCAAAAAUUUAUUUCUAUAUUAUUUUAAAUAGAUACGGAUACAAAUCGAAUACUAAAAGUAUGAAUAUAAAUCAGAUAAUUAAACUUUAUGACAAUAGAAUCAAUGAUAUUACUAAGUGGAUGAUAAAUUAAGUUAAUAGUAUGUUAAUAUGGUUAUUUAUAUUUUAAAAAAAAUUUAUAAAUUUUAUAUAAAAUUAAAUAAAGUUACAAAUAAAAUCGGAUAUUCGGAUACGAAUCAAAUAGUUGUCUAUCCAUAUCCAUAUCCAUUUUUUUUUUACAUAUAUGGUUACAGAUAUGAAUAUUAGUUGGAUACUUAAAUUUCUAUUGAUAUUCGAAUAGACUCGGAUGCAAAAGUGGAUUCGAACGAAUAUUAUUCUAUCCACUUUCGCCCUUAGUUUGAGACAAAUAAUGACUAUUGAAAUUGUUAGAGGGUAAUAUCUUUUGAAGCUAGUAAGUUUUGCUGGUGUUGAUAUUGCGAUGAUCCGUGCGGCUAAGUACUUAUGCAAGACUAAGAAAUUCAAAAAAAUAUCUUUCGGGUAGUCAAUUUGGGCGAAGUCCUGAGUUGUUACAAAUGGUAUCAAAGCAAAUUCGGUCCAUGGCCUUUGUGGACUAGAGGAUGCUGUAGCAUGUGCUCGUUAGGGUUAACCAUAGGCUAACUAUGGUGCUUGUAAUUAAAUUUGAAUAGAUUUAGAUCUUUAGCCUUGCGAUGACAUCAGGGCUUAAACAGGAAAGUAUAGGAGGAUCCAUGCGGUUGUAUAUUUAGUCCUACAUCGGCUAUACACUAAGUAGAUCUUGGGUAUUUAUACAGAAUCGAGAAUUCCAAAAAAUACCUUUCAACUAGCUAUUUUGGACAAGAUCCUGAAUUGUUGCAGAUAUAAAAGAUCUCAUAUCUAAUCUUAUCUUUACUACAUUUAAAUUUUCUCUAUUUUUUGAAAAACCAAAAAUUGCUUUAUAGUUAUUGUAAUAGUAAUCCGAUUGCAUGUGAUUAUACCGUCCCUGGGCAAUGCAAAAAAAAAAAAUCCACCGAAUAGGACUAUUUAAUUAGUUAUUAAUUUGCGAAAAUAGGCUAUGUUAUUUAUAAAUAGUGGGUACCUACACUUGGAGGCAUCGAUUGAAGUGACAGCCCCAUGCACCAUGCUUGUGAGGAGUGCUGUUCAUGCUGUUUUCUGUUCUAGGUUGAUCUGAGAAAUCCCAUCCCUUGUGAUGGUGGAAACGCUAGCUCGCUCUAGAAAAAAGGAGCCCGUUAGCUUGGUGUAAAUGGGAUUUAAACUAGAGGAAUUGGGCAGCAGCAGAGGCCAACGACUUGGCGCACAAACCAUGCAAGUUUUUUAAUUACUUACGAUCCAUGCAUGUAUAAUUAUGAAAGGUUAUUAUGUGCAAGUGAAACCUUCCUAAGUAUGCUCAAACAUUGCAAUGAUUGCAAUUUUAUGAAUUUAAGAUCAAACAUCUGUAGCACAGUGUCUUGUGUCCCAAAGCAUAUCUAUGAGAGGAGCAAGCAGCGGAGUUCAAUGAAAUCGCAGAAGAAGUUGAAAUGCCCUGUGAAGUAAUGUGGGCUCCAUGUUUCCCGUCGGUUACCACAAAAGAAAAGUGGAGCCGGCUGACUCGUACCAAGUGGAAAGCCGUCGUUUAAUGAAUAAAGGUUACUUUAAGAGUAAGAGGUUAAUCGAUCUCCUCUAACAAUUCACCUCGGCAUCUCGAUGUCAGGCUCUUUGCCACCUAGAACUAUAGUAUGUUCCAAAAGUUGAAUUGUUUGCUCAUUAAAAUGGUAUGUGAGCUGAUUUAAAAUGUCGUGAGACGGGUCGGUCUAUAUCCAGUAUGGGUGUUAGAGCAUUGAGAGAAUCUUUCUCUAGUACGAGAGGAUUGAAAAGGACGCACCUCUUAUGCGCCUGUUAUUGUGCCCAUAGUAAAUAUUGGGUAGCUAAGUACGAAGCGGAUAACAACUAAGUAUGUUGUGCGAAACACUUUUAGAUUAUGUAAUAUUUAAAUUAUAUUAAUAACAAAACAUCAAUGCUAUGCUAAUAGGAAGUUUUUAAUAUUUAAAUUAGAUGCAACAAUUGGAAUUCAGCAUGUAUGUGUGUUUUUUUUGAGUUUUUUUUUUUUUGCAGUAUGCCCUUCAAAAUAUACAAAAUUAUAUAAAUACCCUCAUAAAAUUAUUAUUUGCACAUAUAUCUUCAUAAAAUACUUAUUUUGCAUAUAUACUCUUCUUUUUCUUUUUCUUUUUAUGUAUGUACCCAUGCCAUCUCACAUCGUUAAAAAUAAACGAUUUAAAUUUAAAAUGCCUGAAAUAUCUUUACCGGUAGAUGCACAAAAAACAAACUUUAUAAGGAUGUGCAUGCAAAUAGUAACUUUGCAAAAAUAUUUUUAACGCAUAUUUAGGAGGCUAUAUACCUAAAAAAAUUCAAUAAAAAUGAUUAAAAUUCAAAAAUGAUAAUUUAGUUAUUCUUAAUAAAAAAGAUGGCCAAAAAAGAUUAGCAUUAUUAUGUCACGUGAUCUCAUGUUAAUUCAACUCUUAUAGAAUGAAUUAUGUUACUUUUACAAAAUUUUUGCCUCAAAAAUAACAACUCAACAUUUAUAAAUCACUAAAAAAAUAUUUUACUAAUCUAAGCAUCUAUAAUUAAUUUAAAUUUGAUAUGAUUUAAUCUUUUAAAAAUAAUGAAGAAUAUAUAAAUGCUAUAGAUUUAAUAAUGAUAAUUAUAUCAAAAUCAAAUGAAAAAUAGCAUUGCCAAAAUAAUUACCUAAUAUUCUAACUUGACCGAGUCAUGAUCUUUAAAAAAAAAAUGACAAUGUGACUCAAUCUUUUUUUGACUUGUAGAUCCAAUUGAAUCAUAAGAAACUUAGCAAAUUUCUCCAAUUUUUGGUUUUUUUAAUAAAUUUUUUGAAUAUAUACCCUUCUAAAUUUAAAAAAUUACAUUAAUGUCCCCAUACAGUUGCUAUUUGCAUCCAUUGUAAAGUUGUUAUUUGCAUGUAUACUUUUAUAACUUUUUUUGCAUAUCUACCUAUAAGGAUAUUUCCAUUAUUUUAGUUUAUAUGCAUAUAGUAAUUUUAUGAAGAUAUUCAUAUAAUUUUAUAUAUUUAAAAGGUUAUACAUGCAAAAAAAAAAAAAAAAGAAAAUUAAGUCAAUUCAAGAUUUUAGCCAUGAAUUCUGCUGCUUCUCAAGUGUGCUUGAUACUAAUGUUUUUCCACCAAAUCAAAGACAAGAUAAAGACAACUUUAAAUUACAGUCAUUUGUAAGGAAUACGGAGCGCAGGAGCAUGGUCAGAGCUCGUUUGGAAUUUUCCCACUUCCCAGGCGAGCAGGGCCAGCACAUUGAGACAUCAACGCCACGGAAUCGUAUCCAUCGGCCUUUUCACUGACGACUUUCGACGUUUAUCCGCUUGAAACUGGACCCUCUCAGACUUGGCAUUCGCCAUCUUCUGCCCUGUCCUUGGUCUCAUACUAUUUAUCAGCAAAUCUCUUCCUCUUUCUCGGUCACCAUGCAGUGGAUGUCUCUGGCAUCUCGGUUUGUGCCCAAAAUCUCCGUCGUAAUAAAUUGAUUCUGAGAAUUGGUCGAUGUAAUAUUAAAGUAUUCUAAUGAUUAAGUAUUAUAACUGACAUUUUAGGAAUAAUAAAUAAUUAUAAUCAUAUUAUACAUCAUAAUUUUCCCCCUUUUUUUUGAUUCCCAUAUAUUGAUUGAGAUCCCAAAAUAUUUUUCCCCAUAUUUUCAGAACUUCACAUCUCAGUCAAGCGAUCUCAUUUAGUUUUUUCCCAUAUGUUACAUGUAGCUCGUUUUUUUUGAUAGGCCUUCCUGCCGACAACUCCAACAUACAUUGUCCAAUAGAAAUGGCGUUACAUUGUCCACAUCUUUCGAAGUGUGAGCGUCCAUUAAGAUUAAAAACUAAUCAUAAUUAAAGACUGCCCAUCAUUGGAAAUUAAAACUAUACCAUCCAUCUUGAGAUAGCCUUGUGAACCUAUGUUGGGAUUGGAUCCAAUCCACCACACCCCCUAUGAAUUGCAUUCCCAUGCACAUAUAUAUGAAUGUGACUCACAAAAUCCCUUAAUUGUUCUCCCUAGCGGUUAAGGGAGGUUUAUAAGUUUCUAGGAACUCGACAACUAAAACAACCCUCUAGUAUGAGUCUUCCCCUAGGCCUCUUUUAGUAGGAUUUAGCAGUAAUUGAUCCUCAAUGCUCUUCACUCUAUAGUUAUGUCGGAUAGCCGACACUGAUACAGGGGAUCAAACUGAUUCGCCAAAUCUCCAUCAACUUAGUAAGAAUUCAUGCAAAUCUCUAUGAUUAUAAAGGAUCAAAAUGAUUUUCCAAAUCUUAUUAAACUUGGAAAUGAUUCUUCAAAUUUUCACAAGAAGUCAAACAAAUCUUCUAUGAUUUCGUGACUAUUAUAGCAACAUAAGAGAUUCUUUCCUCUUAUAUCGAAAAGAUUUUUCUAUUAUUUCUUAUUUAAAUUUUAAAUAUAAUAUUUUUUGUAAUUUUGAUGAUAUAUAGAGCCAUAUACUGUUAUUAUAAAUAUACUGACAUACAUACUCAAUUCUUACAUUGAGAUUGAGUCACCAAAAGUCUAUUAUCUUUCACUUUUGUCUAUGCCCACCCUCCAUGCAUGUAUAUUUAUCAAGAAAAAAAACAUUCUCUAGGAUGCAAUGAUAGUCCAAUAGAGGAGCCAUUCCGCUCUUUUUUUUCCCCUUUUAGUACAAGAUGAGCUAUUCUACUUGGGAUCCUACUCAUAGACCGAGGAACCAUGGCUAUGCUCGAUGGCUGCCCAUUCCUCAGCACUGUCAUAUAUGACACGUAAGGGUACCUUAUUUGAUGACCAUCCAUCUCCUAAUAGUAUCCAUCGAGCACUGCAUCGCGUGCUAACCGCACACAACAGUGGAUCUAUUCUUCUACUCAUAUUGCUUUUAUUUAAAAAAAAAAUUCUAUAUAGAAAUUAAGGAUCCAAAUGCCUAGUGAGUCAAAGCCUUGCUAGCAUGGUAGCCAGAUCCGCAAAAUCCGUCCAAAUUGCUAGCAGAAAGGCUUUGGCUUUAUAUAAUGUCAUCACGAGGGAUCAGGAGUCAACAUAUUUUACCCUAAUUUGUAAAAAAUUAUAAACUAAGGUUGCUGCUUGGUUAAUUAAUAGUUUGCAAGGUGGAUGUAGGCUUGGUCAACCACAUGAAUUUGAGUGAUAGGGACCUCAUGGCGGCUAGGACAUGAAAUUCUAUAGAUAUCAUGAAGAUUAAAUACUUAACACCAGCAAAAAAAUAUUGCUUCAUGCUAUGGAUGUGAGCCGCCCUUCUUGAAGAUUCAAUUAAAAACCUAACAACUCGCUCAUAUAGUCAUAUGGAAAAAAUACAAAAAAAAGGAACCAUAGGAAUGUAUAUAUAGGUCAUAUCCCAUUAAGCCAUGUGCCAUCAACCGUGAUUGUCAUUUUGGGAGACCUAAAGAAUACUAGUAAUAAGUUGAGGGACUGAAAAUUACUGAUAAUAAAUUUGAAAGCAUCCCUUUAACAUGCAAUAACAUAUGAACCUAGUUACCAUACUUUUUGGAGGUUUUGAGCUUGCAUUUUGAAUUGUAUGUUUCUGAGGACUGAAAUCUAGAUAAUUAAAGCAUGAAUGAGUCAUCUUCUCUUCCUCUCAAAAAAAAUUAUUUCAUAAGAUCUUGAAAAGCUAUAAGAAGCGGAUUCUUUAACAAAACCAAUUAUCGAUAGUUAAUUCUCUGCUACUACUUCGUAGCUUUUAAAUUGUCACGCAUUGCUUGCUAUUUUCCUUUCUCAUGUUCUGCAGUUGCCACCACCUUCCUCUUAUGUUUUGUAAUUGCCACCACUUUAAUUCUGUCUAAAAUAAAUAACCUAGUUUUUCUAUAACUAGAACUCUUUGAAAAGCUUUAGUUAGUAAAGUAAUUAACAAGUUACGACGGAUUUCAUAAUUGAAAUCCUUCACAACCGUGGCCGCUAGUGCUAAGUUGGCAUGCCAUGAUAUGUUGGGAUUUUUUAGAUGGGAGGUGAGCAUAAAUUUAUAUCGCCAUCCAUUUGAGGACCUAUUGAUUUUAAGAGAAGAGUGAUUCAGUAAUCAUACCGUCUAGGUGGAUGGUGCUCCCUAGUUAUUUUAACAACAUGAAGAAGGGAAACAAAACCUCACUUGAGUAUAUGAAAACUAAUCAUGCAAUAGCUUUAUUUGCAAACGAUCUAUAACCUUUCUUCUAGUGCAGUCGAAAAUCCUACCGACCAGCCCUUUUUGAUAGACAGAUGUGAUUGAAUGCCACAUCCAUAUGGCAAAAAAUUCCUUUCACUCCAUAUAAUUUUUCUUAAGAAGAAUUGCAUCAAGAAAUUCUUGCGCUCUUUCCGCAUAUUGAUUAAAAAAAAAUACUGUAGCAGUAUAGAAAUCUCACAUGAAAAUGUCAUACAUAUAGUACGAAACUGUUCAAUGGAACCCAUAGUUACUGUGUUAAAUUUUGACUGCAACUGACGUACCAAUGAAAGAGUUAGAUAUCCACCGUAUGAUUUUUGAUAUGCUGCCAUACAUGCAUGCACGCAUCUUGAUAUGUUCAUCUCCCGACCACCUUUGGCCUUUGCAGAGGGCAAGACGCCAGGGAGUGCACGUAAGCGUGGAAUGCUCCAUAUGCAUGCAUCUUAUCAACGUCUUCGCAGUUGCUGGUCUUGUCGGAGGCAGUCGAAUAUUAAAUUGCUGGGAUUGGAAUGGCAAUUGGAUAUAGAUGACAAGGAAGCACAGCGGCCAUUGUUGAGAGGCAUGGCCCCCCAGGCCUCGGUACCUUCGCCAAAGCCUAUCAAAAUCUGACGACCAUACAUUAAACUAAAAUCUCAUGCAAUGCAAUUCACGCGGCAGAAUAGAGUGACAAAAAUGUAGUUGUUUUCAGUUCACAUGGUUUGCAAGAAUAAAGACCUACAAGAUCUAUAUUUUUCUGAAUUUAUUCAAAAAGGCGUCCAUAUAUGGAUCAUGAGGUUGAAGGAUGGGUCCAAUGCUCCUCGAAUCAUUUGGUCGUCUAACGCGGCAUUUGAUCAUUUGUUUUCUCGCAAAAUACUCAGGAUAAAGGGCACACAUGUAGAUCGUAGAUUUGUCAUCAUCGGUUCAAUCACUUAUAUCAUGCUUGUUAAAGCAUCACUCAUGGUUCAUAGAAUGUUGAAUGAUUAAAGAAUUUAGCAUGCAUCAAGUCUGUCCUGUUUUCGUUAGGUCAAACACCCCGUUGAUGACAGAUUUCAUGCAUCCAUAGAUAUGACGACAAGGGCCGCGCGCGCGUUGUUCCAUCGGUUUCACUUUUGAGAUGGAAUCUGGCCAAAUUCCACAGCCUACUUCAGUAGGAGAUGGACCAUUCAUCCCUGGCUAGCCUCAUGGUGGUCCUACAGAGAUGGGUUAAAAAAGGCAAAUAGGACGCCCUUCGUUGAUGAGAUCUGCCUUGGUAUGAUGAAAGGAAAUCACGACAGUUUCUGCCAAUCUUCCGCCAUCUUCCACUGCCUUUUGAGUUUGCCUAAUGAGAGUACCUAUAGCUUGUUACAUGAGCUUAAUAUUUUUUGAGAACCCAUGUGGAUGAAUAUUUAGUUCCACAUCAACUAUGUACUAAUUAACAUCUUCUAGCUAGUAUGUAUGAGUAAAGUUCUAAAUUGUUACAAAUAGUAUUAAAGUGGAUCCAUUCCCUAACCUAUAUAGAUUAGAAGAUAUUGCAACACAGGCAUAUUUAAACUGGUCAAAAUUAAUUGUAGUAUUUGAAUAUAUUUGGAUUCUUAACUGGGUGAAGAUGGCAGAUCUUAAAUAGAAGGAGCAUUUAAGGAUCUGUGCAAGUGAAUGUUUAGUCCUACAUCGAUUAUGUACUGAUUAGAUUUAUUGGUGAAGUUUUAGAUUAUUACAAAUGUUUGUUAAUUAGCUAUGUGAUUAUUUGCGGCAUGUUAAUAGUCAAAUUUAACUCUAUUUGUGAAAUCUUUGUUCGCCGCAUACAUUUGUUUUCUUCGUACCACGGCCCAUGCAAUCUCUCUUUUUCUUUUUUUCUUUUUUUUUGGUAUAUAAAAGAAGGAAGAGGGAAACUAAUCCCACCCGCGUAGCAGCCCUCACUGAGCCCCUUUCCACCAGAAAAUGUUCCAUGUGAGUAGAAAGUUUCUCAUAGACCCGUGGGUUGUUCAAUAUGUGAGUAAGUCAUCCAGCACCACCUCAGUAUUCAGAGGACUAGUAGUGCUUCCAACGGACAAGCCAGAUGGAAGGCAUCCAAUUCUCAUAUUUAGUCGUCGUCCAUGCGUUUGGCAUAUGGAAAAAAAAAAGUCUCAUUCUACCAUCUCGUAGUGUGCAAUCUCUCUUUCACAUGCGCAGACAACCACCGUUGCAGCCUUGAGUACAACAACUGUUAUUAUUAAUGCAAAACAGCUAUUGUGACCUUUCGAGGUACCCUGAGGACAUGCACAUAAUCUAUUAUUUGUCUUUGUUUGAACCAUCACGUCUGUCUUUUCUUACGAGGAGCCACUUCUUUCAUUUCUGUGGGAAGAUGGCGGUUCUUGCGGUUGUCUUUUUGAAUCUUUUGAUAAGAGUGCUGCUGCAAUGCAGAUAUCUUCUUCAUUACGGUUUAUAGGUCUGGCCUUAAUGCUGGUAGUUUAGGUCAAGACAGUCUAAUAAAAAAAAGAUAGAUCUUGAUCGAAAUAAGCUAUGGUCAAUCAUUGGUUAUCACCCACCUACCCCCGUCCCCGCAAAACAAGAAGCGAAAAAAAGGCAGGGGGUCACCCUAGUAUCAGUGAUUAGGUGACAAUAUUUGUAAGGUUCUAUAUAAUUUAUAUGAUCAUAUUUUUUAAGCAAAUUUAGACUUGCUUACCUAGUUAAGAGAUUGUCAGUUUUGUUAUUCUUCUUUACUUCAUGCCAAGAAGGUAUUGGAAGAACAAUCUAGAACAGUUAUUUUCUGGAUUAAAGUCAACAAAUUGUUUAUGGAUGGAUACACAUCCAUUACUGUUGGACAUUUGGAGAUUAAUAGUAUGUAGCUAAAUAUAUUUUAAGAGAGGUUAAUAGGAUAGUUGAUUGGAUGGCAUUCUUUAGUGCUGAUUUUAAGAGGUCAUCGGUUUUGUUUUUCCUCUUUCUUUUAUGUGAGGAAGGUAUAAAAAAUAAAAAUAUAUUUAAAAUAUUUUUGAAAACUAGAAUAGAAGAAAUCUUGGCCGAAACCACGAUGGACGCAAGAUUCAGCAUCAACCCUAAAAGGCUUCACCAAUUACACUAGCUGGCAUCCCCAAUAUAUAUCUAAAAUAUUGUAUCAUUCAUAUGAGAUGCUCUGGCGUAAAUUCUUUGCACUGCAUAAAUUUUUCAUAAAAUUGAGACUAUGGAUGUACAGAGUUACAUCAUCUUUAUGCAAGGUUUCUAACUUGGCACACAUAAAAUCUAGGUCUGACGGUGAAAAGUCACUGAUUUCAUACACUAAACAUUAGUUGUAAUAGAAGUGAUUAGUGGCCAUGAAACCUCCAAGACUAAUAAGUGAAAGGAGUCAUGCAUAUAAUUCAUGUGCAAUGGUGCUAUUGCCAUGGAGAUCAAUUUUAUUUUUCUUAUAUGUUCGUCCAUUUGUCCUCAUCCCCUUGAUUCAGAAUUAAGAAUUAUGUUUUGUAUCUUUUCUAGGCAACUUCAACAUCCUCAUGCAUAUCACAGUUGCUUACACCCUAAAUGCAUAGUGACUGAUUUAGGUUAAUGAUUGAAACCAUGCAUCAUGUUUCACGUCCCAAUACAUAUGUUGGCUAAUGGUAGAAUGAGUAUAUAGUUUCCAAUCAUUGGUAAACGCAUUUUACUCUCCAAAUAUUGAAAUGCAUCGACAUUGUGAUCACUUGAUGUAUAGUUUAAAAUAGUCUUUAAAACAUGUAAAAAUUUAUUUGUUGAAAUUUUUAUGAUAUAAUAUACAGAUGUGUGAUCAUGAAACAAAUGUUUUACCAUGCAUUUUGGCAUUCAAAGUUGGAAAAAAUAAUCAUGCCUUGAGAAGCUACAACCAUCCAUUAAUCUGUCGAUAGCAUUUUUUUUUCUUUUUCUUUUUUGCUUUUUCUGAGAGCAGGGAGGGGUAGCAUNNNNNNNNNNNNNNNNNNNNNNNNNNNNNNNNNNNNNNNNNNNNNNNNNNNNNNNNNNNNNNNNNNNNNNNNNNNNNNNNNNNNNNNNNNNNNNNNNNNNNNNNNNNNNNNNNNNNNNNNNNNNNNNNNNNNNNNNNNNNNNNNNNNNNNNNNNNNNNNNNNNNNNNNNNNNNNNNNNNNNNNNNNNNNNNNNNNNNNNNNNNNNNNNNNNNNNNNNNNNNNNNNNNNNNNNNNNNNNNNNNNNNNNNNNNNNNNNNNNNNNNNNNNNNNNNNNNNNNNNNNNNNNNNNNNNNNNNNNNNNNNNNNNNNNNNNNNNNNNNNNNNNNNNNNNNNNNNNNNNNNNNNNNNNNNNNNNNNNNNNNNNNNNNNNNNNNNNNNNNNNNNNNNNNNNNNNNNNNNNNNNNNNNNNNNNNNNNNNNNNNNNNNNNNNNNNNNNNNNNNNNNNNNNNNNNNNNNNNNNNNNNNNNNNNNNNNNNNNNNNNNNNNNNNNNNNNNNNNNNNNNNNNNNNNNNNNNNNNNNNNNNNNNNNNNNNNNNNNNNNNNNNNNNNNNNNNNNNNNNNNNNNNNNNNNNNNNNNNNNNNNNNNNNNNNNNNNNNNNNNNNNNNNNNNNNNNNNNNNNNNNNNNNNNNNNNNNNNNNNNNNNNNNNNNNNNNNNNNNNNNNNNNNNNNNNNNNNNNNNNNNNNNNNNNNNNNNNNNNNNNNNNNNNNNNNNNNNNNNNNNNNNNNNNNNNNNNNNNNNNNNNNNNNNNNNNNNNNNNNNNNNNNNNNNNNNNNNNNNNNNNNNNNNNNNNNNNNNNNNNNNNNNNNNNNNNNNNNNNNNNNNNNNNNNNNNNNNNNNNNNNNNNNNNNNNNNNNNNNNNNNNNNNNNNNNNNNNNNNNNNNNNNNNNNNNNNNNNNNNNNNNNNNNNNNNNNNNNNNNNNNNNNNNNNNNNNNNNNNNNNNNNNNNNNNNNNNNNNNNNNNNNNNNNNNNNNNNNNNNNNNNNNNNNNNNNNNNNNNNNNNNNNNNNNNNNNNNNNNNNNNNNNNNNNNNNNNCAUUAUUGAGCCGUUCAAAGAAACCCAUUAUUGAGCCGUUCAUUGCUCGUGCCUUGUGUUGAACUUUAGAAUGUCCAAGUUAAAACUUGGUUCCAUCCUUUUCUUCCCGGAGAAAGGGAGGGAUCUACCCACAUUAUCCAAUUAUCGAAGUCCAAAGAGGAAGCACUGUUUAAAACAAGAACCCAAAUCUCAGGCCCAAAGAGUAUGACCAUUAAAGCAAUCUCCAAUUCACGGAUUAAAUGUUAUAAUCCAAAUUGGGCUGAACUUAGCAAGGCAUGCACUAAAUGUUAUAAUAAAAAAAUCAGUUUUAUAAAUUUUCACUGAAAUCUCUCAUAAAUAUGUUCAGAUAAGUAUGAUGCACUAUUAUAUAAACUGAAUUACAUAAAUUGAGGAGACUUAGCCUGGAACAAGUCAUGCUUAAUUGGUGGAACACACGAGCGCCAGAGGAACUAGAGCGUUAACCUUUGAUAAGUUACACACGAUUAGAGCAAGAGAUACAUCAUGUUCAUAAACAAAGGAUCCAUGAAAAAAAUAGCAAACACACAAGUCGCAUGCAUACAAGUCAAUGAGAGAAUAUCUUCGAUUUCCAUUACCACUUCACUACAAAGCCUCAGAUAUUUUCUUUAUUUUUUGAUAAAAUAAUAUUUAAGUGAACUUGACCCCGUCAAUCUCAUUCAGCUCAACUUGUUGGCAUUUCUCUUUCAAGUUUCAAUGGGAGGGGUAGCAGCACACCCACCGUAUUUCUCACAAAGACGUCAUUAUAGCUUGCACAACAAAAAUCAGAACCCGGCAACAAGAAAAGGUUGAUCUUCACCACUUAAUUUAUAAAAUGAAGUGGUUAUGCUCCGCAACUGCGUUUUCAAUGCCCAAAGAGAUCAGCAGAAAGUAAUCUAUUAUAUCACGCCUGUCCUGAGAGCUCCCGUGAAAUAAAAGAAACCCUUCUCUCGCAAAACACUUCAAAGACAUCCAUCAGCACGACUUCUUUCCCUUCGAAACAAAUAUUAUCACCAUCAUCUAUUCACAUAAAGUAUAUAAGGCAUCUUGAUGACGUUACUGGUUAUUCCAAGUGACUGGAAAGCAUCAAGGGAAGCUUCGUUCGUUUGUCAUGGUUGCCAAACAAGAGAACUUCUUAAUAAGGAUCGCCUAAUCUAUUAGGAAAUCAUGCUCAACCAUUCCGAAAAUUUCAGUUCAAGGACUGGAACCGAUGGGGGGAGAGAGCCACCAACACCAACAAUCAGACCAGCCUACGGCUAUAAUGGACACCACCAACAACGCCGUUACAAGCAUCCGUCAACUUGAUGACAAAAAAAAGAGAGAUUAGACAGGUGCAGAUUGAAAAUCACCAGAUAAUCAAUCACGAAAAUAGUAAAUAAAUAGAAAAGGACAAUGCACUGCAUACCUUCAUAGUCAAUUCAGAGACUGCAAAUGAUGGCAGAGAAAAUGGAUGGCUAGGGAUAUAUGCUUACCAACCCUGAACAUUUAAAAAAGGAUGUAAGUGUCACAGAAAGUUGAGAGAUGAAUUGAAGAAAAGAACAUUGCUGGACACGAAUCAAUCCAUUAUCUUUGCAUACAAGUUUCUGAUCUCACUAUACAUUGGUAAAGAAAGACACCGAACAGCUACGCUAUCAUCUCAAUCCAAAGUAAAAAAAUGAUUUGACACAUAUCAACCCAUUAUAUAUGCAUUACAUUCAAUCCUCAUCAGAAUCCACUUUCUGCUUUUUCCAUUUGUAUGCAGCUUCCAAUAUUUUCAGAUUUGGAGCUAUUGCCACUUCAUCAGGGAAUAUGUAGUCAAUAUAUUCCUCAAAACUGCAUAAAAUUCAACUAAUGUCAGCUCAAUCUUCUUAUGGAGGAAAAACGGAAAAGAUACAAGCCAAAAUUUCACAAGCAAUUAUGAAUCAAAAGUAAUUUAAAAACAGAAGACAAUAAGCAUACCCUGCAGGAGUCCCAUCUUCAGUAGAUAUGGCCCUCUUCCUCUUUACCUUCCUGGGUAACUUCUUUUGGACUGAACUGACAUCCCCAAGAUUUCCAAAACUACUCUCAAAAUUCAACCACUCCUCCAAGAGCAUCCCCCUUUCCUCCUUUAACUCAGGGGCAGCCGUUCUGAAGUAGUCGAAUGCCCUCUCAAAAACACCUGGUAGAAGGGAGAAAGUUGAAGUUAUCUCCAUCUUAGAAUUACAAACAAAGCAAACUUUAAUUUCAUUUUUCAUCUAAUGUACCUCGGCAUCGUUGGAUGCACUCCAAUUGCUGCUCAUGACGAGAGAUAUCAUCACUGCUUUCCUGAGCCUCCCCAUCCACCUCUUCGUCUUCCAUACCAGCUGAAGCCUCAAACUUGGCAUAACUAAUCCAUACCUUCAAGUGCUUUGUUCGAUCAAGUAACCUCUCAUAGAGUUGCCUUGUUCUCUCGUAUUCACCCUCUGAUAUCUCGAAGUCAAUGUAAGCCUGCAAUGCAAGGUGAGAAACAGAUGAUGCUGCAUCAAGCUAUGGAUGGCAGUAUUGGCAAUACAGAUAUAUCAUAUCCUCACUUGAGAUAGAUUUCCAUAUUCACUUGAUUAUGUAAUUAACUACAGAAACCCAUUGAAUGCAUGGUUGACAAGGCUUGUACAUCACUAAAGCAGAGCUCAAGUUUCAACUCCAUAGAAAAAACAAAGUUGGAUGAUAUUAUUUGCAUGAUGCAUUAAAGAACCCAAUAAUGGAAUGAAUAGAGAUUUUACAUGCAAUCAAUAAUUCACUGAGGCUGACGCUGAAAAUAAAUAACAGAGAAAUCAAAGUAAGAAAACUAAACGAGACACGAUCUAAAAAGGACCAGUACCUAGUAGGUUGUGCUUGUCCAACAUUGUUAUAUGCAAAGUUAUUAAGGAUUUUUCGCCUGUGUCUCUUCGUCCGGCAAUGAUGCACCACCAUUGAGGCCUUUGUGCCUUUAACCAAAUGUAACAAGUGAAGAGAUUCUCUACAUUUGUUAGGUUAGGUCGAGGCAGACACCAAGUCACCAGGUGGUGUCAUUCAACCCUCUCAAAGACCAAAAGCCACCUAUAUCGAAUGAUACUAUGCCUUUGGAGUUGUGGUUAGGUAAAAGUUACCCUAUCAACCUCUAUCUCCAAGGUGAUCUCCUCUUCUUUAUUAGGGAAUACUUAAAAUCUAAGGAGCUUAGACUUCCACCAAACAUAUGUUAGGAAUACAUACUACUAUUACUAUUACUAGAAAAUGAUCUAGAAAAAGAUAAAGGGAAAAUAGAAGACUCUAACAAUCUCUUUUUUUCCCAGAAAUUAUAAGAUGAACUUCAGAUCAUAUAAUUUAGAAAUUUAAACUCUGCAAUCAUUGUAAUUUUUUUCUGAUACACUGAACUUAUCAACACCUUCUUAUCAUAUAUUAUAUUAGACAAAGCCACAAUUCAUAAGCACAAAAGAAAGCUCCAAGUCCUUAUGGCUAAUUUUGGGUCAUUGGGAGGCUGGACAGUGAUGAGAAGUAGAACAUACACCCAAAAAAAUGAAAAAGGUUUCCUUCGUCACAAGAUAUUUGACACUCAAGAAUUAGAACACAGUUACUUAUAAGAAUGCUAAAGAUGAAUAACAAACCAGAGAUAUAUAUAUAGAAACAAAGUGGGCCCACAUAGGUACAGGAAUCGCGAACAAAGGAUAUUAUUGAACCAAGAGGUUAUACUAUGAGACAGUAAUGACCUUAUAUAAAUUGGCAAGUAUAUCGGAACGAAAAUAUUGGUUCAUCUAAUUUUUUAUAUCUGAUUUAGAUCAUUUUUAACACUCAAGCACCCAAUUUCUUUUGGAAGAUCAAACACAA